rnacentral:lncRNA from 1 species
UUUUUUUUUUUUUUUUUGUGUUUAAUCUUCUAUUAUUCUUAUAAACUGAAAAUUUACAUCUGUUUCCUACUUUUUUGGUGUGUUUUAAUUGUGGUUUUUUUAUGAACAAGGAACAUCUCAACGGAGGCGAGGACCCUCAGUUCCCAAAUGGACGAAACAACUUUGUUCGUUUGAUAUGUCCGGAAAAUGCAUUAGUGAUAAUUCUAGUGCAUUUUCAAAAUAUGUGGCAUCGGAGGUUAGAGACCACAGAAAUCUCCCAUUGGCGAAGCAUUGGCGUAAGAUUAAGGAUGUAGAUAAGGAAGUUUUCUGGAAUACAAUUAAGGUAUUGGUAUUUUUAUUGUUAUUAGAAAUAAAAAGAAUAAUUCAAUGAUUGUUAUAAUAUUUGACUUGGUUGAUUUUUUUUUUUUUUUUUUGAUGUAGGGAAAUAUUGUUUUUGAAGAUGCAGAUAUACCAAAAAUGCCUUUGAUCCGCUUUAUGACGCUUAAGGUUGCUGAGCAUGCACAUAAGGAGUUUAGAAAUAAGUUAAAAAAAAGUAUUAUAUCGAGAGAGCAGCAGAGGAGCGUCGCCAGCCUCCUCCUGAUGUGAAUCCUACCCAGUGGGGUAGUUUGUUGGCAUACUGGAGUGGAGAUAAAACAAAGGUAAUCGAUGUAGUUUAUUUUGUUAUAACUAUAAAUUUGUGUAAUAAAUUUUUUAUUUUUAUUUUCAGGAGGUUGCUGAAAAAAACAAGAUUAAUCGGCAAAGGAAAACAAUGAACCAUACUACUGGUACAAAAUCUUUUGCAAGAAAGCGGCAAGAAUAUGUAUGGAUUGUACAAUUUGAAGAAAUUUUAUUUUAAAUAUUCUAUAGUUGUUAUAAAUUUUAAUUUUAAUGAGGUUUGCCUAAAAUUGUUUGUGUGAUAUUUUAUUUUUGGUAAAGCGGAAGAAGCAUGGGAAAGAAGCCGAUCCCGUAACCUUUUUUCGUGAAUGUCAUACACAAAAAAAUGAAACUUGGAUUGAUGAGGAAUCGGAGCGUACAGGGGUAAUUUAUUUUACUGUGUUAGUAUUUCAUUGUUAUUAAUUUUUAUUAUCUAUAGCUUAUUUUUCUGUUUUACGAUUGAAUUUUUAUUUUUAAAAAUUGUAAUGCUAGGCAACAAUGGAGCAAUCUGCAAACUUUGAUUCAGUCGGGGCAAGAGGAUAAUGAAGAUCUUAGGACCCAAGUGUAUGUUGAAACAAUGGGUCUUGAGAGGUAUAAUAGAGUCAGAGGAUACGGUCAUGGGGUGACUCCUGAUAUGGUGUCCUGUGCGUCUUCUCGUCUUCUACAUCAAUUUCCUCCAAGAGGUCAUCUAGCAGUGCAAUGGCAUUGCCGAUGACUCAAAAUAAUGAGUUGAAAUUGAGGAACGAAAAUAACAAUAAAUGGAUUUCGGACAUAGAGAACAAGCAAAGUCAGAUGUUUGCGUGGCUUUUCCAAAGAUUUCAGCCACAACCACAGCCACACCCACCGUAUAGCCCGGGAACCCAACAGUCAGGCCAGAGUCAGCCUCCUCCUCCUCAACAGACGGGUCAAAGUCAGCCACCCCUUGCAUAUCCGUAUGCUGGCCAUAAUCAGCAACCUCUGUAUCCUAUGUAUCUGAUGCCUAUGCAGCCCACGGCAUACAUGCAGCAGCCGCCUAUACCAUACAUGCAGCAGCCUCCCAUGCCUUACAUGCAGGAGCCGCCUUAUCAAGUGCCAGUAUAUCGACCCGAGAUGGCUGCUCCUUAUUCUGAAUUUCCAGCUGGGGGGUUUGCUGAAAUGCUUGCGGGUGUUGGAUCUGAUGUGGAUUUGUCAAGGAUGUUGGUAUCAAAUAUAGGACCUCAAGGACGAGAAGGAUAUGUGCCACGUUCAGGCGCAGAUUCGGUUCCGUAGUUUAUUUGGUUCGCUUUCUUGUCAGUUAAAUAUGACACUUUAAUCGUUCUAUCUUUUUUGUUUUUUUAUGUUAUGUUUGUAAUGUCGGAUUUAGUAGUUGUUAUGACGGAUAAGUUUUUGUAUAUUAAGUGGAACGUUAGAUGUACAAUAUUUGUGUAUUUUGGCACUAUUUUUAUUGUUAAUUAUUUUCAUUAAUGUAUGUACAAUAUUUGUGUAUUUUGGCAUUAUUUUUCUUGUUAAUUAUUUUCAUUAAUGUUUAUUUUGGCCUUGGAAUUUAUUAAUAUAAUUAUAUAAAUUUUUUCUAUUACAAUGAAUUGAAGACGAAUGCAGUUUGUCGGUUUUUUUUUAUUAUUAUUAACAAAAGUGGUGUCGGUUAUGACCGUUAUUAGUUUGCAUAUUUUAUUUAUUUAAUUGUUAUUUGAUGUCGGUUUAUGGGUAUUAAAUUGAUUUAAUAUUAUUUCAGUGUCGUUUAAAAGCGAUAGUAGGAUGGAUAUUUUACAAUUAAAUUGCUAAUGAACGUCACAUUAAAGCGACGUAACCUGUAUGUAUGCGUCGCUUUAAACCGACGUUAAUUUUAGUGUCGCUUUAAAGCGACGUUGUUUAGUGUCGGUUUAAGCCACGAAACCGACGCUAAAGCCCUUUCGUGACGCUAGCAAUAGUGUCGCUUUGAAAAUGCGACAUUACAUUGUUUUAUGUUGGAUUUUUGCCAAAAUUCCGACAGAAAUUGGAUUUCUCUGUCGGUUUUUGCUCCGACAGUGAUAGCAUAUAUUGGAGUAGUGAACACAAACCCAGAAUUCUUUUGAAAUCCUUGCAGAACCCCGUCGGUCGCAAGCCAUCGGUCGCCGAUUUGAGCGGCAACAAUUUCACCGGCGCUAUCCCAGAAUAUCUCAGCAAUGCCGAAGAACUCAGUUACUUGAACAUUCGUUGAACCCAUUUCAAUUAGUCAUUUCGUCGAACAUCUGGCGCGCACCAAAUCUGCAUAUUUUUUCCACUAGAUCCAGCGACUUCACCGAAAAAAUCCCAGACUUUGUCGGCUGCAAAAGCCUGUUCAAAUCGAACGCCAAUGAAAUGACUUUAAUGGUUCCAUCCCAUGGGACAUCGACCUCACCCAGAACUUUCUCUCCAGCACAAUUUCGUCCAACUUCAAGAACUGCAGCACGUUGGAGAGUUUCAACGUUUCGUUUAAUUUAUUGGGGGGAAUAACCCAGGUUCUGAUAUUUGGGGUUGUGAGGUGAUGAGUUUGGUUGCAGGAGUUGACGAAUGGAUUGAGGGUUGAAAUUGGUUUCUAGAGAAGAGGAGAAGGUAUAAAUUGAAGAAAGUAAGGGGUUUGGGAGAAUUAGGGCUCUUGAAAUGCUCCUUCAAUGCCUCCACCUUCAUUUUUAAUUGUUAAUUUUUAAUUUUUUUUAAUUUUUUUAAUUUUUUAAUAUUUAUGUGGGCUCCUAUGACACGUGAUGUUUAGUCACUGUCCACGUGAGCGCUAUGUCACCAGUUAACGGCUGAUUUAAUAGCAAACUUAACGGAUGUAUGAAAAUGUCCCAAAAUUAUGACUUUAUGUACCACUCUAGGAUGAAAAAAAAACUUCAUGUAUUAAAUGUUGAAAACCAAGAAACUUCAGGGUAGUAAACUGAGAUUAACCCUUUUAUUUAUUACUUUUAUGUCGAUUUGAAUUAUCAGAUCACUGUGGCAUGGCUAUAUUUGGUUAUAUUUAAGUUAUUUGUUCAUCGUUUGCUGCACCGGUGUUAGUACUCGUCCAGACCAGGGCCAGUCUUUCAUGUGUAUGUGCACAUCACACCGUACGCUCACUUUGGAUCCAUUAUAGGUGCCAGUCCUGUCGUACAGGUUGCAAUAGGCAACUUCGACUCAUAUGUGCUGAGCAUAGCGCAAGUCUUCACGUGAUUGUAGUACCAAAACGUUUACUAUUAUUACACCUAGUCCUUUUCAUGUCAAAAUAUCUCUGCAUGAACUCGUGUGUCAACAUAUGUCGAUGAGCACCUGAUAUGAUAUGUUGCUUAUGUGAGAUUUUGUUAUUAUGGAUGACAUGCCCUUAUUUACGAGAUAUUGUGCCGUAAUGAAUUCUUGAGAUUUUGCAGGUUACGGUAAGUAUUUUCUUACUAUAUGUAGUAUGCAUAUUUUGGAAACUAUACUUAUUUUACAGCGAAGGGUUAUUAUGUUUUCGAAAAGGUUUUUACAAAGAUUUGUUUCUAGGCCCACUUACCCUUAUUUUCCGUCCCUCCAGGUUUUAUCGCUGAACUUACAUGUCGACACGGAUUUUUGGCAAAUCUUGGUGUAGACAUUCGAUGGUAUAAUUCUCACCCUAGCUUAUUGUACUAUACUUAUGCUCUGACAUUACGUGUGAAAUUGGUUCAUUCCCACUCACAGCGCACUCUAAUACUGGGGCAUUUUUAGGUUUAAAUUUAUUCAUAAUUCCAUAUCACUACACUUUAUGGCUCGUCACCCUCCAGGUGUCAACCAGCACAACUCAAUUCGAAGUCCAGGUGGACAUUUUGGGUUGGGGUGUGUCAGUUUGGUAUCAGAGCAUAAGUUGGGCAGUAUUGCGUUCAUCACAUGCAUGAUGUAAGCAUUCUCGGUUCUUGAGCCUAAUUUUCGAAUCUUGCCACCUCGUCGACUACGAAAAACGUGUUAAGUUUUUCUAAGUUUUGGAUGAAUUGGAUGAUUUAUCGUCAUUCUAGAACAUUGUGUUGGUAGACGUUCCUAAAUUUUAACAAAGAACCUCACUGCCAAGGAAAAAUCCUGUUUUUGGAUUAAGUUGAUGGCCCUGACGUAGGGCGAAUGUAUCAGGAGUCACACAUCACCAGAGAUUUACAAGUCAAUCCCAUCAUUACUCUCCUGCCAUCAUUACCAAAUCUUGCGAGAUAGGAAACCACAAUUAGUUUUGAUUCCUUGGCAGCAUCCGAUCGCACACCAUAAAUUAGAAUUCCUACGAAGUUUACUUAGUCAAGAUUUCAGAAUUGGCUUGAGCGACAACCUGGUGCUAAAGCGGUAUCACUCGACAGAAGAACAUCUGAGGGACAAUCACUUUUGGUCCCUGAUAGCACUAAUCUUUUCAAACACACGAACGAUCAUUUCGGAUCUUCAGAAGGAAGAUCGACAUCCGUUUAAGUCCGUUCUAAAGUAGAUUAUUAUCAAAUUCCUUUUUUGUCUUUUGGACGUUCCCACCAAUACUAGUUUCUCAAAUUUCUUUUGGUGAUGUACUCAUUAUUUAGACGAGCAUAGGCACAGGUGUACGAAUUGUUAUACCUACGGUUAGUAGAAAUCCCCGAAAUAGUAAGUAUGUUUCCUUAGAAUUAAUGAAACCACCUCAUUGGACCAGUUCCUUACCAAUUGUCCAAAAUUAUCCACCUGAGCGGGCUCUAACCUGUAAUCAACCUACAGUGGCGCUACUAAUUAACGACAUCAGCUGACAUUCUAGAAUGGUCAACCAGUAUUCAGGCAGUAUAAUUUCUGAUACCGGGCACAUGUACUAGUAUCUGGGAGUGAUACUCUUAUGCCAGAACGCUGGUUUAUAAUUUCAGGGUAACGAACAAUAACAACAUAUCGUAAUUAUGUUAAUUAGCGGUGAGACUAAUAAACUGAUUAAUAGUGACUACUUGAGCCAAAGAAACUUAGGAGUAAGCUUUGUAUUAGGACAGUAAACUUAUAGUUGUUUUUACCUUAUUACCUAUCUAGGUAAGCAUAACCUCUCCGACUAGCCACCUUUUCAAUCACUUCUAUACGUAGACAGUAGAAUCGAGGUGUGAAUUAAUUUUCCAUUGUCAAAGUGAGUUGAGUAUCGAGAAAACUGUGAAGACCUUUUAGUUCGCGUCGUAGUGAAAGGAAGUAGUAUAGUAUGUUUCGAGAACGUAUAUCUUUGGCAUCAUUUCUCCAAAUUUUGCCUAGGAUAUCACCAAAUGGUGAAAUAAAGUACGCCAUCGAUCCAUUUUCUCGUACUACACCAAUUUUCCUUGUGUCUUUUUGAACAACUCCUACAAUUGAGAGAACUUAGUUACAUAAGCUUACCGAUUGGAAAUUUAUCAAACCAAACACCUUACCUAGGGAACCUCAAACCUAUCUGUGAAGGUGAAAGGCUGAACCUUAGGAUCGUACCUAGAUCUUUGCAACGUAAUUAGGUGACGAUUAAAACGGUUAACCCAUAUUUCGAAUUGAUGGUCUACCCGACCACUUUUGGAACUUGAGUUUUCUUCCAUAGCUUGUUGAAUCCAUGGUAGUCUUACAGACAACUUUCCCACCUACUUCAGCAGCGAGAUCAAACUUCCUAAAUACCGACAAUUAGCUUUAUACAAAAUUUCUCAAAUGUGUUAGUUGUCUAAAUUGGUAGUUUUCUUGGGAGACGUGAUAUCGGUAGACGAUAUUCUUUUCUUUUUCCCAAAAGGUUGUAGUGGAAGAAAGUUGAAAUUCUCACAAGGUAUUGUGAAUUUCGAUAUAUCUUUGGUCUUGACGAUUUUAUCAACAAUUUGUUAGCGAUUUUUUUGCUAUAGUGUUUUUCCUCACUUAUCGACCGGGAAAGUUAAUUUAGUUUGAGAUGUUGAAUAUGAAUAAAGUAUCUGACAACUGAACUGUUGUCUCAACUCACCAUUGCUUUACACCUUUCGAUGACAUUGAUCAUUUCAAAUCCCAAGAUGACGUGUUCUUUGGAUGUUUUGGCUGUGUAGAGGCAACUUGACGAUGUAUCGCUUAUGUUUCCUAACGAUUGGAACCAUAUGAAAUGAACUACCUUACUCAUGACUUAGAGUCCACAAUUAUCACCUUUGUUGAUGCAUAAAAUCAGUGAGGACUUUGGUACAACAUAAAAUGUUAAGUUUGUGACAUUCGCUAGAUUGCUCCGGUCACUAGUGUGGAUAAAUAUGUAAAUGAAUAGGGACAGGGAAACAAACACAAGAUGUAUGUGGUUCACCCAGAUUGGCUACGUCCAUGGAGUAGAGGGGUUCUCAUUAAUAGUGAAGGGUUUACACAAGUACAUAGGUUCAAGCUCUCCUUUAGUGAGUACUAGUGAAUGAUUUAAUACAAAUGACAUUCAUAAAUAUUGUGGGAGAAUGAUCUCCUUUUAUAGAAGAGAGUUUGUAGCUUUGUUUUGACAUUGACACGUGUCGUGUUAUGAUUGACUUUUGAUGUUAACACGUGUCGCGCUAUGACGCUAUGAUUGGCCUCCUGGUUGAAGGGAAACUCUUCUGGGUCCUUAACGGUAUAACUCUGACCGGUGCGCAGUAGUUUCGGGAUUGGUCAAGUAUGGUACAAACAACCUUCAUUUGAAAACCGGAUGACAUUUCUCUGCGAUAAGUGUAUCCAGAAUCUUUAUCAACCCUAGACUUCUCAAAUACAUCUUCAAUUGAAAGGAACUAGAUUUCUGACAUUGGUGAUGGAAGAACCAAAUCAACGUUUAUAAUUGCGCUAUCAUGCAUCAUCUCGGUUGUGUAGGCGUAAUGACUGUUUACCACAGUGAAAGACAUAUCUACCCUUGAACAUUUCCAGCAUUUUCUAUCCCAUUCUAGUUAGAGCUCACAAGCAUCGAGUUGAUAUUAUUUCCGAAUUAUCAAGAAAUUUUUCGUGUGGUUAUAAUCACUUCUUGAAUCCAAAUGCAACUGGGAAAUAUCACCAUAAGCUCCUACUACGAGGUGUCUUGUACAUGUGGAUAUUACGAUGAUGUUUCGGUGAUUAUCAACCGACUUGACAAGUUAGCUUACUUCGCGUUGGCCCAAAGGGACUACAUUUUAGAUCACUUGAGAAAAUUACUCAUUCUUGAAAUUAUCAGAUUAUUCUGAUGUUUAGAUCAACAUCUACUUUGACUGUGGUUUCAUAUUCACCUUUUGUGCAGGAAGGCAUUCCAAUCACCCUUGGGUAUGUGUCUACCCUAUUGCACUUUGUGCUAAUUUUGAAGCAAAUAGACCGUUUAGGUGAAUAGCCCAAACAUUUAGAUUUUAGUUGUGACUAUUAAUUCCUAAAUCACCCAACAAAUACUCUGAUAAGCGAAUCCUUACCGUUGGUGAUUGAAUGUUCCAGAAGUUACCAUUGUAACGAGAUGUUAUGCAUUAAUUUCAAUUACCUAGUAUCCAAAAGUUGAUGGACUUGUUUUGACCCUCAGAUAUUUGAGUGUUCUUUUAGCCUUCUCAACACAGUUUUUCGCUAAAUUCGAGAGGAAUUCAAUAUAAAGCUGCUCGCUAAGGCAUUGUGAACUACAUUGUUUGACUAUUUGGUAUGCAUGUCACUACUGUACCUCUGUAUAACACAUGUUUCAUUUCCAAGUCUUGGGAAUCCUUUUGAAGGUUAUGAGUACUAAGUUUUUGUCUAGUAUCACAUUUUUACCCUCACACUAACGACCAGUCUGAGCGAACUAUCCUGACCUUAGUGGACAUAUUGCAUUUUGUCUGUUCUACAAUUAGCAUGGUUGUAACACAUAGUUAUCUUUAUUUUAGUUGCUUGUAACUCCGGUUACAAUUUUUGGUUUUGGGUAUGGCACUGUUGAGACGUAGUAUGGAAAUUUUAUGCAUAGCACAUGAUUGACAGAAGAGUAUUGUGAACAAGUAGUUGAAUGAUCGAGAUUACAAUGUAACAAAUUGUGUGCUAUUUGCAUUGUCGCCUGAGAUGGCAGUACGUGAGCGCGAUUGAGGCUCUAAUUGGACGAUUUAUGUGUAUUUCCCAAUGAGAGGCAUGAUGGUAGUAUUUCACCCUUGGGAAUUUGUUCCUUACUUAUCGAGACAAUUGUGAGUUGUCGGUAUUGUGGGUUGCAAACUGUAAUAUCGAUAACUUAAUUGUUAAACUCGUUAAGCAAGUGGACAUUUAGUUCUGUCUACGUUAGUAUUUUUAUUUAUUUAUACAUCUAGUUAUUUAUUUAUCGUUUGGGCUUAACCCAAAGAUACAACACACUCAUCUUCGGAGUACAUGAUGCUACGACUGCGUAGGUGGAAAACUUUCUAUUUUCAAUGUUAAUUUCAGUACAAUUAUUUUAACUAUACGUUAUUACAUAUAUAUGUAUUUUGACGGGAUGUUAUUAUACAUUUGUAAAUGCUCUUGGCUUUAUGUUUUAAUAAAAGGUAUUAUAUUAUAGUAUUAUGCUGAAGGAGAAGGAAAGUAGGAGUUUGGGGGCAUGAAAGAGGAAUCACUGCACUCCGAUCGCGACGGAAUGACAUUCUCUUUUAUGCAACCACUCUAACUUGAUAUCUUCCAUUACAUAUUUAUUUUUCCUAUUGUCUUUUCAUUACUUUUGUAUAACAAGUGAUUUCAAAUUUUGGAGACAAAAUUUUUUUAAGGUGGGUAGAUUGCGACAACCCGUCCCUACAUUGACAAUUUUAUUAAUUUUAAAUGAGUAAAUUGACAAAAAUGCCCUAGAGGUGAGGGUAUUGACUUUUGUUAACCAACUUAUAGUGAGACUUACAAAAUAUUCUUUUAGCGUAUUCCUGUAGUACUUAACAAUACGAAUGUGUGGGGGCAAGUAGAAUCGAAAUUGGAGUUAAGAUAGGGGUUUUAUGGAACUAUAAAUCCGAAAAGUACUUUUGUAAAGAUGACUGUUUAUUAUUUUAUAUAUUUCUCAUAAUUAUUAUAAUAUUAUUUUGCGAGAAAUGAGGGAAGAGAGAUCAACGACGGAGGAAAAAAGGCAGAAAACAGAGGGGGCUGCUGCCCAAUAUGAGGAAAGAAAUGAGGGGGCUACUACCCAAUCAGAAAGAAGAGAAAGAGAGAGUGACCAACCAAAGAGGAGAGAAAGAAGGGGAAAGGAAAGAGGUGCAAAGCACCCAAACGUGACCCAUACACCCACACACCCAACCCGAUUUUGACCCGGAGGGUUUUCCGGCCAUUCUCAUCCAUUUUUCAGGGGAUUUUCACCCAUUCACCACCACCAAACCUUAUCACCACAUCCCAACAUCCAUUCCUAGCUAAAAUCGACACGAAUUGGUUGAGAUUUCAUGAAGAAAUACCCCGUAGGUGCCGCAGAGGGCAUUUGAAGUUUUUUUGAGCCAGUCGUGUGCAAUACACGCUCGCAUGGCCGCACAUCCCGACAACAACAAAUGGGGGUGGCCCACCAGCGCAUGAGCACUGAGAUGAUCAGAUGGAUGCCACAUGUUCGUUUCUAGGCUGUUGGAUUUCAAACAGCUAGUUUUCUGGACCAUUGGAUUUCCAACGGUAAAAAAAAUUGAAAUUUAAAAUUAAUGGGUACUGACGUGGCACAAUGAAGACCGUUCAAUUUUCAGAUUAAUAGUCCAGAUUUUUCAACCAAAAAACUUAAUAAAUAAAUAAAUAAAAAUAUCAAAAAUAAUUUUAUAAAGUUAGAAAUUAAAAAUAAAAUUAUUACUUUUUUAUUAUUUUAUAAUAAAAAAUAACAAUAUUUUAAUAAAUUGACUAGGCUAUUUUUUUGUUAGAUGUAGAGAUGCAUUUGGCCUAUUACUAUAAAUUGGGGUCUAUCACUAUUCACUGAGUGGAUUAAAUAGGAUGGGUGCUGGCACAUCUUUUUAAGGGUAGACUUUCUCUUAAGUGUCGUGUGGUAAUAAAGUUUCAGAGGUGUUUUGCUUUGCAGAAAGCCUGGGGUAAUGCUAAAAUAAUGGUGAUGGAAUUAUGAUGAGGUAAGAAGCCUAGAUAAGCUAGGCUUUUGGUCAUGAUGGGAUAAGUCAGGAUAGGCUUUUAUCUUGUUUGAAAAGUCAGCCAUUUGGAUGAUAGGCUUCAACCUAUAAAUUAAAUAAGGAAAUAGUGAUGUGAUACAGCAGGAGGUUACCAUGCAUGCAUAGAUAAAGAUUAUGAAAUGAUGGUGGGACCAAAUAUCCUUGGCAGGAUGCCAAGAAUUUUAAUCAAAUGGCAUCACUUACAAGAUUUGGAGAUAAAGUGGCAGUACAUCAGGUUGCUACAAAUGAACACGUGGCUUUAGUUUGCAUGAGAUGAUUAUUUGGGGUUUGAGAGAUUUUUCAGUGUGAUCGACACACGAGGUGGUACACCACAUGUCACUAUACAAAUGGUGGGAUAUGUGUGUUAAAAAGUUAAUAACUUAAAAAAUAAAAUUUUCAACCACUUACAUAAAAACACGUGGUGUACCACUCGUGUUCCGGUCACAAUAAAAAAUUUCUCUUGGGGUUGAGCUUUGAAUUAAUUAAAUGUGUCAAAAUGAGAUAAAGAUAAGUCAAACAACUAAAACAUGGGCUUUGGCCUGCGUAACGUAAAUCGUUUUAUGAGUUUGAAAUGCAAUUGGAUUCUGCAACAAGUGUCAGCGGCCAAAGCCAGUAUAGCCGCUGGAUAAAUAGUAUUGGAGCCGUAGAAUCAGCCGACCGAUGAGCACUUUCAAUUUGGAUAAACAGCACUGCUUCAAGACCAACUAAUUAUUUAUCCAAGUCUCAGUCAACAAGGAUUUUCGAGUCCUUGUUGGUAGAGGUCAUCUCAUCAGCCUUCUUGGCGAAAUGAGGUGUUACCAGGUUACUACAUUCAGCACAUUGAAAGCCGAAUUUGAUAUUGAACUUCGUAGAACUAGUAGCCUUGUCUUCAGGCUCUAAAACCCCGAAGGCCUAGACGUGUUCCUUUCUCGGCCGCAGUCACAAAAUCAAGAAGUCAGCAGCGCGCCCAAUGCCACAUCAACAUAUUUUACUCCCCGACUGAACUCGGUCGACGAGUUGGCACACCCUGCACACAACUAAAGGAUGUAGUUAGUUUAUUAAUUACUCGGCCUGCGAGCCAUGUAGGCUUGAUAAUUUUUAAGAAAAAUAGAAACACACAUCCACAUAGUUAUAAUUUUUGUUUCCAGUUAGGGUUUGAUGCUUUCUUUUUGCACAAUCAACACUAAUAAUUUCAGUUAGAUCCAGAUCCCCUCCUGACCUUUAAAAACUGAGCUUGCUGAGCAAACAAUCUUGGCCGUUUAAAUUUGAUCCAACGACUACAAACAGAGAGGUCCACUAAAAGUUAUAAUAAUUGUAGUCGUUAGAUUAAAUUUCAACAGCCACGAUUGCCUGCUUAGUAGACUCAGUUUUUUAAGGUCAGGAUGAGAUCCGGAUCCAUUUUAGUUAACUGAUUUUCAUAUUAACCUUGGGUGGACAUGACUGAUUUGAUAAAGAAAAAAUGAAAUGUAUUCAACACCCUUUAUAUACACAAUGCGGCAUGGACUCGGAUCAUCUCUUGACCUUUCUGUCCGGAUCCGAAUGAUCAAUUGAUCCUAGCCUUUAAAUGCACAUCAUACGGUUAUAAUUAAUUUUAUCGUUUUAAUGGGCUUCUCUUGACUCUCCUUUUUUUUUAUCUCCUCCCUCAUUUCUUUUUCUCUCCUCUCUCAUUCUAUCUUUUUCUUUCCCUUUCACUUAGUCUUGUUUCUAGGGGUGGGCACGGGCCGGACCGAGCCUAAAAUUGAAGGGCCCGGACUAGACCCGCUUGAAAAUACAAUAGGCCGGGCCAGGCGAAUUUUAUUAUAUUAAAACCGAGAACCGGACCUAACCCAGCCCAUAUAAAACGGGCCGGUUCCUACGGGUACAAACUCUUUUUUUCCCCUAAUUUUCAGUAUCCAGAUUUUUCCCAGUAUCAGCCAUCGCCAAAUCCAACACCUAGAACCUAUUCGUGACCCUUUUGGAGGGCAAAACCCUAACCCUAACAUUCACAACCCCAGAGAUCCUCACCACUUCCAUCAAGCACCUCCUAUACAAAAUCUUCAAAUACAAUUUCGAAUUCAUCAAAAAAAUAAAAUAAACUUGAAUCCCUAUGAGAACUAGAGACAUCGUCUUCCUCACGGAUCGAACUAGAGAUGUCGUCUUCAAGCAUUUCUCUUUGACCCUGAAGCACAAAUUGAACCAGAUAUGUCGUCUUCCUUACGGAUCCAAGACCUCCACCCUCGCCAUUACAAAUUACAUCGAAUCAAAACAAAAUCAGAAACCUGCAAAAUUCCUAAAUCAGAAACCUAAGUUCCACUGAUCAUGCUUCGUAAACCCAAAACAAAAAAUUGAAAAUUUAGAGAAUAUAAAUACAAAAUUUAAUUCAAUCAACCCACGAUGGUUUCGGAAAUUCACAUAAAAAGGGAGAGGGGGAGAGGAAGAGAGAAAGAAACUUACGAUGUUGCCAACGAUUGUUAUACGAGCCGAGCUACAACGGAGGCCAUGGAAGCUCACGCGGUGAUAUGGUUGGAACGAGGGUGGGGUGUCAGAUAGAUCAAAGGAAGAGACUCGGAAUGGUGUUGGAGAGAUCAAGGGUGAGGGGAGACGGUGAGGACGAUGGUGAUGGUGGCUGGCUCGGAAUGGUGUUAGAGAGAUCAAGGGAGGAAACUCGGAGUGGUGUUGGAGAGAUCGAGGGUGAGAGGAGACGGCGAGGAUGAUAGUGAUGGUUAUGGUGGAUGGCUCAGAGUGGUGUCGAAGAGAUCGAGGGUGGGGUGAGUUUGACAUUUAAGUGAAUAGGUGGGUAGAGAGAUAGACUGAUAGAGGGUUAUUCAUUUAGGUGGGCAAUGAACGGUCCGGGCCGAGGGCUCGUUUUCUCCAAUUUUUAAAACCGGCCCACCCCGUUAUUUACAAAGACCCGCCCCGUCCCGUUUUGUAUUUAUAAUUUUUUGACCCGUCCUGUACCCGUGGGUCCAGGACCCGUUUGCCUACCCCUACUUGUUUCCGGAUUGUUGCAUCUCGUCUCUCUCAUCUCACAUAUGAAAAUUUGAAGCAACAUAAAUAUUAUACCAACUGGACUACCUUUGGUUCUGGGAUGUCGAAAGAGCCAUUUUGUUGUUAGUCUCAAACAGAAAUCAAGUAACUCAACAAAUUAGACACCCCAAGAUCAGAUCUUUAUCACCGACCUUCAACCCAAACCCCUGAAUUCUUUUCUUCACCCAACCAAGAAAAAACAAAACCCCAGGAGCAUAAGUAGAGAAAAAGACAUAAGCAGAGAAAGGAGAGAGCACAACACCUAGAAAGAAAAAAGACAUAAAAUCAAGACACAAAAGGAGACAAGAAAACCAUUAAAAAGAAAAAUUAAUCAAGAAAAAAAAACCAGAAGGACAGAACAUAGCAUGCAGAUGGAGAGAAGUAAAAUAAAAAGAGAGAAAGGAAAGCACCGCAAGCCUGCAUGAGGAGGGAGAAUAAAGAAGAACACAGAAUGAGAGAGAAAGGAGAGAGCACUAGCACGCAAAAAGAGGAUAGAAAAAUAGAGAAUGACAGAGAAGAAACAAUUAAAAGCAAUUUAAUUAGUAACCAUAGGAUUGCAUCGAACGGCCAAAAUCAAUUGGUCCGUCGGAUCCUGGUAGAAAGUUCCGGAGAUGAUAUGAGUCCAAUGGGGCACUGGGCAUCAAAGAACAAAUCCUUGGAGUACAAGUAAAUUAAGUACAUAUGUGUAAGAAAUAAAAUAUUUGGUACUUAAGAAAGAACAGGACUUGGCUGCUGAUUCUUUUAGCAGCCAAGUUCUAUACCCUAAGAAAUCCUAUUUAGAAUAUCCAACAUUCAUGAAGGAAUAAAUAAGUUAGUAAAUAAUAUUUUUAAACUACACCUACUUCAGUAAUAAUCUCUCUAAAGUUAUAAAAUUUGUUUGCUCCCAGCUUUAUGGGCUUUACUACAUAACAUAUUAAUGCGUGAAGUACCCAUCUUUCCAAUCACUUUUUGUCAUUGAUCACCACUUCGUUGGUUUAAUUUAUUAUUGCUAAAAUAACCCAAUUUCUAAGAUACGGUAUUAGAAAAGACAAUCAAAAACCUAAUUUGGAAGCAAAAUACAAUAAUAUAAGGUAUUUUGUUUGUGAAUGCAAAAUCCAAACUUGUUUCUAAUUUGAAAACCACCCUUGAACAGAGACACAUGUAUUUUUAAAAUGUAUAUAACAUGAAAAGUAGACGGCGAAAGCGAGGGUUUCUCAGAGAAGCAAACAGAUCAUAAGGUCAAGAUUCGGCAAACAAUCCUAAUGGUUUCCCAUGAAUAGCUAGGGCGGGCCCCCGUUUCAUGUGGAGGCUAACGACAUUCGAAGGUUCGCAGUAGGAUUCCCUUGACUCGUUUUUGCUUGCUGGGCACGAAGCUUCAACUAUAUAGAAGCGUACAAGUUUCAGUCAAGCUCCUCCUUCUUUCCAAACCCUCUGUAAAAAGGUGCAAAGAAUAUUUUGCAGAAGAUUAAUUACUUCAAUUGCUACUAAGAGACUUUAUACAAAGAGAGAUCUUGCCGAAGAAGUAACCUAGCCUACAUUCUAGGUUUUACAAAUAUUCACAAAUCAAUUACAAACAAUUUACAAAAUAGUUUCCUAAAACUAAGCCAAGAUAUCAAGAAUGAUAUCAUUGACUUCUCAACACUCCCCCUCAAGUUGGAGAGUGGACAUUGAGAACUCCCAACUUGUGAAUGAUAUUUGAGAAAGUUUCCUUCCCUAAUGGCUUCGUGAGUACAUCUGCAAGUUGAUUGGAAGAAGGAACAAAUCUCGUAACAACUUAACCAUCUUGUAUCUUGUCCCGGAUGAAGUGACAGUCCAUUUCUAUAUGCCUAGUUCGCUCAUGAAAAACUGGGUUAGCAGCAAUGUGAAGAGCUGCUUUAUUGUCGCAAUGGAGCAGAGCCGGUCUUUGAUGUAGUAUACCUAGGUCUUUCAAUAAAUAUCGUAGCCAUGAUAAUUCACAACAAGUUCCAGCCAUGGCUCGAUACUCGGCCUCCGCUGAUGAUAAAGACACAGUCUUUUGUCUCUUUGACUUCCAAGAAAUCAACGAAGAGCCCAAAAAAAUACAAUACCCUGUAGUUGAUCUUCGUGUUGUUGGACAACCUGCCCAGUCCGAGUCACAAUAUGCAUUUAAGACCAAAUCAUUCUCAGAAGAGAAGAACAAACCUUGUCCAGGUGUAUUCUUGAUAUAUUCAAAAUCUGAAGGGCUGCUUCCAUGUGUGGUGUGCAGGGCUCAUGCAUAAACCUACUCAACACAUGCACGGAAUAGGUUAUAUUUGGCCUAGUGAUUGUUAGGUAUAUCAGACGCCCCACCAAUCUUCUAUAUUUUGUCAGGUCUUUGAGGAUUGCACCAUUGUCUGAUAACUUAAGAUUCUGUUCCAUGGGAAAUUCGACGGGGCAAGCUCCCAAAAGACAUUCAUCUUUCAAUAUUUCUAAAGCAUACUUCCGUUGGGAAAUAAAGAUCCCUUUCUUAGAACGUGAUACUUCAAUCCCAAGAAAGUACUUCAAAUUGCCAAGAUCCUUGAUUUUAAAAUGACCAUUAAGGAACCGUUUAAGGGCAUUGAUAACACUCGAAUCAUUACAUGUAAUCAAAAUAUCAUCAACAUAAAUUAGGAAGGCUGUAAAAGACUUGCCUUGUGUCUGGGUAAACAAAGAGUAGUCAGCCUUGGAUUGUACAUAACCAGUGGAUUGAAUCGAGUCAGAAAACUUUGCAAACCAUUGAUGAGAAGCUUGUUUCAACUCAUAUAAAGACUUGCUAAGGCGACAAACCAAGUUCUCCCCAUGUCGCCGAAGACCUGGAGGAAGAGUCAUAUAAAUUUCUUCAUGAAGGUUACCAUGAAGAAAAGCGUUGUUAACAUCUAGUUGAUGAAGAAACCACUGCCGGGAAGCAGUAAGAGCCAAAAAACACCGAACCAUGACCAUUUUGGCAGUGGGAGAAAACGUGUCAUGGAAAUCAACACCUUCAAGCUGGGUAUAGCCCUUGGCAACCAAACGUGCCUUAUAAUGCUCAAUGGAGCCAUCAGAACGAUGCUUAAUCUUGUAAACCCAACGGCAACCAAUGGUAGUUUUGCCACGAGGAAGAGCAGUAAGAGACCAAGUGCGGUUAGCUUCCAAUGCCUCUAAUUCAGAAGCCAUGGCAGCUUGCCAAUGAGGAAAACGAGCAGCUUCCUCAUAACUCUGGGGUUCAACCUGUUGAGUAAUAUGGGCAAGGAAAGAUUGUUGUGCAGUUGAGAAACGAUGGUAAGUAAGGUAAUUAGCGAGUGGAUACCGCGUACCUGGAGUGGGACCAGACGACGAAGACGAUGGAGGAAGAGGUUAGGUAAGCUUGAGAGUAAGACAAUCAUAAUCACGUAACUUGGGUGGCGGAGAAGAAUGACGGCUAGAGCGACGGAGCACCGGGGUAAGAGCUGGCGCUGACAGGGUGAGGUCAGGAACGGUAGAUGCAAGAAGUGUUGCAGGCGCAGGAGAUGCGGCAUCAGCGGAAGGGGAUGACUCAAGUGGAAUCAUAGGGUCAGAUGGGUGGAUAACGGAGGGUGACACGGGACCAAGUAAGUGAGGUGAAAUAAGUGGUGUAGGUGAAGAUACACGUUGAUGGGAAGAUGGAAAAGGUGAGGUUUGAUAAGGAAAUAUAUUUUCAUGGAAGACAACAUCACGACUGGUAAAGAUUUGGUGAGUGGUGAGGUUAUACAGUUUGUAGGCUUUCUGACCAAUGGGAUAUCCUAUAAAAAUGCACUUGUGGGCAUGAGGAGAAAAUUUGUGAGUAACAUUGACGAUAGUGGCAAAAGCAAGGCAACCAAAGACUUUAAGGUGUGAAAAAGUAGGAGGUUUAGAAUAUAAACGUUCAAAAGGCGUUUUCUUGGAAAGAAUGGGUGUGGGAAGACGGUUAAUGAGAUGAACGGCUGUGAGUACACAUUCACCCCAAAAAUGGAGAGGAAGAUUAGCUUGAAAACGCAAGGCACGGGCGGUUUCAAGUAUAUGUCGAUGCUUGCGUUCUACGACCCCAUUUUGUUGAGGCGAAUAAACGCAAGAAUGUUGGUAAAUCACUCCAUGAUCUUUAAAGAAAUCACGAAGGGAAAAAAAUUCCCCACCAUUGUCAACACGGAUUUGACGAAUAGAAGUAUUGAAUUGAGUUUUGACAAAAGAAAAAAAAUUCUUAAGAAUAGAUUGUGUUUCAUUUUUGUGUUGCAUAAGGAAAAUCCAUGUGAAGCGAGAAUAAUCGUCUACAAUGGUUAAAAAAUACUUGGCUCGAGAAGUAGAUGCAACUUUAAAGGGUCCCUAGAUAUCACAAUGAAUCAAAACAAAGGGUUUAUUAGAAGAAAUAGAAUUAACAUUAAAAGGUAAUCGAUGUUGCUUGGCUAAAGGACAAAUAUCACAAGCAUUAUUAGAUGCAAAAAGGAAAUGUAACAAUUGUUUGGACAUGAAAUCUAAACGAGGGGCUAACAAGUGACCCAAACGCCGAUGCCAUAGCUCCGUAGGUGAAAGCACAAGGUUGCAGAAUCGCCGAGGAUGCUGAGGCCGCGCAAGAGCCAAGGCUACCAAGUAGUACAGCCCGCCUCUUCGCUUACCCAAACCAAUCACUGUCCUUGUCGUUAGGUCCUGCAUAACACACCAAGAAGGAAAAAAUGUUACUGAACAAUGUGAUCCACUCGUAAUACGACUUACUGACAUCAAAUCUACUUUAAAGGUAGGCACACAUAGCACAUCUUGCAAUCUAAAAGUAGAACUCAAAGGAAUGUGACCAAUGGAAAGUAUGUGGGCUUUCUCUCCACUGGGUAACAAAACAUGAGACAUUUGCUCAUUUUUAACACCAUUAGUAAGCAAUUCUGGUGAGGAAGUGAUAUGAUCCUUUGCACCACUAUCGAUUAUCCAUCGAUGGAGAUGCAAAGAGGGAUUCAACAAACCUGUCUUAGCGGUAUUGGCCUGUGGUUGUUCAUCACUGCCCUGACCAUUCAUGAUGUGAAGAAUCUAUUGGAACUGGGCAUCAGAAAGCCCAGACAUGACUGACUGCAUCUCCUCUUUGGUGGCUGCAUUUUUCGUGACAUGAUUCGUCGAGGAAGAACCCCGCUCCUUCUUAAGACGAUGGUUCCCUUUCUGUGGUUUAACCUUAUGCAAACGAUGGCCUGGUGGAUACCCAUGGAGUUGAUAGUAGGUAUCAAUGGUAUGGUAAUCUUGAUCGCAAUGAGUACAAUGCAAAGGUUUGCGAUUAGAAGACUUUGAACCACUUUGACGCACAACCAUGGAUGCUGUGCCAGUAGUGACUCGAGAAGAGGCAAGGCUUCUUUGCUUCUCCUCUUGGGAAAUUGAUGCAUAGGCUUGACGAACAGUUGGAAGAGGGUUCAUCAACAGAAGCUACCCUCGAACAGCACUAUAGGAGUCAUUAAGUCCCAUGAGAAACUGCAUCAACUUGUUCCUCUCAUUUUGUGCUCCACAAGUGCAAGAAAUGGAAUCACUGUAGGACGACAACUCAUCCCAUAAGCUUUUCAUCUUCGUGUAAUAUGCAGCAAUAGAGAGUUGAUCUUGUGUAAGCGAAGAAAUGUCCCGUUAUAGUUGAAAAAUUCGAGGAGCAUUACUUUGACAAUAGCGCUCGCGCAAUUCCUCCCAAAUUGCAUGAGCGUCAGUCAUAUAAAGGAUACUGUCAGCAAUAUCCGAGUCAAUGGAAUUAAUAAUCCAUGCUACAAUCAUGUCGUUGCAUCUCUGCCAUGAAGCGUGAUCGUCCGGCUUGGUCUUGACAGAAGGUUGCAUGACAGUGCCAUUAAGAAAGCCAAGUUUGUUUUUGGCACUGAAAGAGAUCUUCAUAGCACGAGACCAAGUUGAAUAAUUAUCUCCAUUCAAGGGCUUCGAAACCAGCAUCAUGGCUGGAUGAUCAGAAUGAUGAAUAAAAAAGGGUUGGAAACAUUAGCCUUUGUAUCGGAAUUGUUUCCAGAAACAACGUCGGUGGCCAUGGCAAACAACGGAAAAGAAUAUGCGAAAAUAACAGAGAAAAAAGGCAGCGGAAGGAACUAGGUUUUCAGCCUAGCUCUCGAUACCAUGUAAAAAGGUGCAAAGAAUAUUUUGCAAGAUUAAUUACUUCAAUUGCUACUAAGAGACUUUAUACAAAGAGAGAUCUUGCCGAAGAAGUAACCUAGCCUACAUUCUAGGUUUUACAAAUAUUCACAAAUCAAUUACAAACAAUUUACAAAAUAGUUUCCUAAAACUAAGCCAAGAUAUCAGGAAUGAUAUCAUUGACUUCUCAACACCCUCUCCCUUAAUUAAUUUGCUCUUUAUUUCUUGCUUUUCUUGCUUGCUUGGAUUUUGGGUUUUGCGGCUUUGUUUCUUUUUAGAGAGAGAGAGGAUGAAGUGUAGUAGUGAGUUUUCUUCCAAACCGGACAGGAAGACAGUGGAGAGAAACAGAAGAAUUCAAAUGAAAAGUCUCUGCUUCAAGCUUGCUUCACUUGUCCCUCCCCAACACUUAAAAACCACCAACUCCAAGGUAAAUAUAGAUCAUUGGGAAAUUUUAUUAUAUAGUACUACUAUAAGUUCAAUAUAUAUAUUAUUCAACUAUAUGUAUAUAGUACUAAUAUACGUUCAAAUAUAUAUAAGCACAGUACUAACAUAUAUGUUAAAAAAAUAUUAUAUGUAAUUAAUUUACCUAUAUGUAAAUUUAUGAUUAGCAAAUAAUAUAUAUUUUGUAGGUAAAUUAAUAAUGAAUCAAAUAACAUUCUUUUAUUUUGUAGGUAACUUAUUUUUCAUAUAUUAUUACAUAUAUUUGACACAUUUUAUUAUUAUAAGAUAUAUGUACAAAUAAUAGGUAAAUUAGAUUCAAAUCAAAUAACAUUGCUUUAUUUUGUAAGUAAAUUAAUUUUGAAUCAAAUAGCAUUCUUUUGUUAUGUAGAUAUUUUAUUUUGUAUGUAUCAAUAUCAUAUAUAUUUGGCACAUUUUAUUAUUAUAUGUACAAAUAAUAGGUAAAUUAGUAUUAAAAAAAUAAUAUUGUUUUAUUAUAGGUAAAUUAGUUUGCAUGUAUUUUGCAUAUAUUGUCACAUCCCGGCCCGAGCCCCUACCACAUCCCGGGCUUGACUCCACCAUAGCACGAUAUUGUCCGCUUUGGGCCCAGACCACGCCCUCACGGUUUUGUUUUCGGGAACUCACACGAGAAUUUCCCAGUGGGUCACCUAUCCUGGGAAUGCUCUCGCCCGAACUCGCUUAACUUCGGAGUUCCGAUGGAACCCGAAGCCAGUAAGCUCCCAAAAGGCCUCGUGCUAGGUAGAGAUGGGAAUAUACAUAAAAGGCUUACAGGAUCCCCUCCCAUAGGCAAUGUGGGAUGUUACAUAUAUGGGUUUGUUAUUAUGUAGGUAUAUUAUUUUUCAUGUAUUUUACAUAUGUUGGGUAUAUUAUUUUUCUUUUUUUAAACAAUCUAACAUUUUAAAAAUUUAAUAUUAGGUGCACUAUUUGAAUUAAAUGUUUUUUUUUGUAGGUAAAUUAUUUUGCCUAAAUUUUACAUAUAUUAGGCAUUUAUAUAUGUGUGUGUGUGUGUGUGAAAUAAUUUACCUAUAUUAAUAUGUAAAAUAUAAUUUUAUUGACUUAAUUAAGCAUGUAUAAUAACAUACUAGACAUGUUUUAUGUUAUUAUAUAUUAGGCAAUGAAUUUAUAACAGUAAUUUUUUUUUUCUUUCUAAAAUCAUUCAUUCUCCCUUACCAUCCAUAUGCAUGGCAUUAAUUAUGUACAUCAACAUUCAAAUAGGGUUUAUCAAAAAAAACAAAAAACAAAAAAAAAUCAAAUAGGGGUAUUUUAGGCAUCCGAAUUUUUUUAAAUGUGUGAAGUCAAAUAUAGUUAAUGAAUUUGCUGAUGUGGAAUCUAGUCAAUGAGUUUUAUUCAAAUAAAAAACUUAUGUCGGGUUUAAUGCGGAGAAAAUUAAGUUUUAGGGGUUAAAGUCAUAUUUUCAGUUUUUUGUUUUUUUGUUUUUUUUUUGUUUUAUCUGUACACCUAGCUUAAAAUUUAGAUAUAAAUUGUGUAUUUUACUCUAUGUUAUUUUGGUUACAAAUUAGGGUUUGGUUAUUGUAAAAGGAGGUAGAGAUCAGAAACAGUCAAUUAAUAUAUAUAAAAGUAAAACCAUAAACGGGACGGAAAUGAAAAUGAAGAUUGUGUAUUGUGACAAGAUUAGUUACAAGGAAAUGAAUUGUGUGUCAGAGAGAGAGGGAGUAGCGGCACAUGUAUGUAUUAGGUUUUUUUUCUUUCCAAAACGUAUGUAUUAGUUAAGUAAGUCAAAUUGACAUUCCUAGUCCAACUUAGAUUCAGUUGUAUAAAUAUACUUUAGCUUUCUAUAUAAUUGAUUGAUCUGGUGAAAUAUACGAAUAUUGGAGCUUUCGAUUUCCGUCGUUCUCUCAAGAGUUUUACCCUAUUUUUGGUUUUCUUCAUAUUGUUCUACAGGGACCAUCAAUGGAGGGACUGCUUCUUAGUUUUUGGGUUGGAAUAAAAUUUCCCUACAUUAUUUAGGACAUGUUAGUUUGUUAGUCUGAAUUCAAUAAUCUAGUAAUGUAACAUAUCAAAUAUUUAGGAUGAGAGAACGCUACUCCUUAACUAAAUAUAUUUCAAUAAAAAUCAAAUUUCAUUAUCGGCUUUAUUAAUUGCAAUAUGCCUUUCUCCCAUUGAUCAGGAUACCGUGUCACAGCAAAAUCAGCUUGAUACUGCGGCAUCCUAUAUAAAGCAACUGAGAGAGAGAAUAGAGAAUUUGAAGGAGAGGAAGGAGAAAGCAAUGUGGUCACAAUUAGGCAGUUCUAAUUCUGACGUUGGUGCUAUUGCUGCCGAAAAUGCCGUAAUGACGGGAUCAAGAUUACCAGUUCUUGAAUUAAGAGACUCGGGUUCCUGCAUAGAAGUUAUGCUGAUUAGUGGGUUGAAUAAGAACUUCAUGUUUUAUGAAGUCAUCCGUGUUCUUGAGGAACAAGGCUGAAGUUGUCAGCGCUAGCUUUUUCACUGUAGGCGAUAAAGUUUUCCACUCGAUGCAUGCUCAGGUACUAAAACAAUCAUCCGAGAAGCUAAUAUCGUCUAAUCCUUUAUUUUGAUCUUAAAAAAAAUGUACUAAAACAAUUAAGGUCAUUAUGAAAUGGACUUAUCAAUUUUAUUUUGGCAUAAUCGGAUAAAUGGUCCCCGUGGUUACAAGGUAUUCAGAAGAUAGCCUCUGUGGUAAAAAAAUUCGGAUUUAAACCCCUGUGGUCUAAGUCUGUUAGGAUUUACGCCCGAAAUUAGAACUUCUGUCAUUCCUCCGUUAGUAGCUUGUAGGUGGGUCUCACAGGUAAGACUAAGGUGGUCAUUUCAUCAUUUCCAUUUCAUCUCUUCCAUUGAUCUCCUUUCAGAACGAUCAUGAUGGCCACAACCGCACCGCCAAACUUGUUGUCGAUGUCUCCUCUUCCUCGCCACGAAAACAAAUCAAAAUCUUUCAGACCCUCAAAUGGUUACACAUCUUCCUCAAACCCUCUUCAAAAACCCCUAUGUUAUCUCCAAAUUCGGGCCUUUCUCGUGCCCAAUUUUGUGUCUCCGACUCUCUGGCCACACCCGCCAUCACCGGAGUUGCGGACAAGAACGCCAAGAUUAACAAGUAAUGCGAAAUGGGUAAUCUGAAAUCCGCCAUGGAAAUGGUGUCGGGGGCUCAAAAAUCCAAGCUUGACUUGGAGGCUUACUGCUCAGUUGUGGAGCUAUGUGCUGGAAUGAUGUCGCUGCAAGACGGAAAAAGGGUUCACUCAAUUGUCUGUGACAAUGGUGUGGAAGCUAAUGGGAAACUGGGUGCAAAAUUUGUGUUUAUGUAUGUAAGGGAUGAAAUGGAAAUGAUGAAAUGAUCAUCUUAGUGUUACCCGUGAGACCCACUUGCAAGCUAUUAAUGAAGGUAUGACAGAAGUUCUAAUUUCGGACAUAAAUCCUAACAGACUUGGACCACAGGGGUUUAAAUCCGAAUUUUUUUACCACAGAGGUUAUCUUCCGAAUACCUUAUGACCAUGGAGACCAUUUAUCUGAUUAGACCUUUUAUUUUUUAUGCUUCUUUGUAGGUCAAAAUUUCUAGAGAUGGAGUAGACAAUUCAACGGUAUGGCAGAGACUACAGGAUUUGUUGUACUGAGUAGCUAGCUUUACCUCUUGAAAACUGAAGAUUUAUAAAUAAUGUUUUAGCAACUGCAUCAUGAAAGAGCUCCGGAAGGAGAGGCUUAAUUAGGAUAUAGAAACUGAUGUUCCCUGUUUCCUGGGCGAGCCAUUGAGUUAAUAAUUAACGAAUCUAUUAAUAUAUACAGAUGUGAUCUGGUGUUAACUUUUUGUUUAUUGUCCCUUUUCUAAAUUGGUCUCAAAGUAUUGAUUCUUAACCAUCUUUUUAGAAAAUAAUUAGAUAAUUUCAUGUUUAUACACAAGAUUACACAUAGAAUAGAGGGUGUUGAAUCCUUAAUGAUGCUACAACAGCAUAAUAUUCUCUCUCAUGGAAUAAGGAUUAAUUAAUGAUCAUAAACAAGUUUCAAACUCGCAUCUAUAUAUCGUCAUUGCCUUACAUUAAUAGAGGAAGUGAAGGUUAGGGUUUUGAGAGGAGGAACGUGGUUGGAGACAAUGGCGUAGCCACCCACAAGGCUAAGGUGGGUUGUAGCCCAGCGAGGUUUUCUGUAAGAGUAGUACUAUCUAUGCACUCAUUUUUACUUCUCAUAUACCCUUCUCGAUUUUCGGUUGUUCAAAUUGAAUGAGUUGGAGAUGAUCAUUGACAGAUAAUUAAUAAGGCUAUGUUGGAAGUACAAAUGGGUUUGCGAAUAUAACUAUUUUUUUGUAAAAUCAUGUUUAUAGCUUACCCAAUUUCAAUAGAGAUUAUUAUUUAAUGUAUAUUUUAUAGAGGUUAGGUAAUAAAUAAUACGUUUUAUGCUAAAAAUUAUAAAUUAAUUCUAUCUCCAGCCCCUCUUUAUCAUAUUCUUUAAAGAAAAGACCAUUUACCCUAUGUAAUUUAGCCUUUGUGCUUUUUACUCAAGAAAAGAAAAAUAAUUUCUUUAAAUCCAUAAUUAAAUCCUUAUCUCCGCAAUUCCUUAAUUUCCGUUGCGAUUUUCCAAUAAAUGUCACAUUUGGUACUUUCUUAAUCUCUAUAUUUACUUAUUCUUGAUUUAAUUAGUAGGUUAAUUAUUUAUAUGGUCCAUGAAUUUAUCGGUUAGGGUUAUGAUUUUGAGAAUAGUUUAUAUUAUAUUGUUGUUCUUUUGUAUUGAUUAUUAUAUAAGUUUAUAUAAGCAAAAAAUAAACAUAUGAUUUUAUAGUACUAUUUUUAAUUAGCCCAUCCAAAGAAAAAAUCCUAGCUCCACCCUUGGUUGGAGAGAAGAAAGGCGAGCUAGGGUUUUGGGUUUGUGCAGCAGAGAGGCAAACCUAUACCAUUUAGAAAUAGGGAACUUUAACGAAAAGCACCCGGUACUGUUCACUUUAACGAAAAACCACAUUUUUAUACUAAAAAGUCAAUCCUGGUACUAUUCACUUUACCCUUUAUUUUGUCCUUAUCAUUAAAACUCAAAGUUUUCAAGCCCUUUUCAUUAGUUUUCCUUUAGAAAUAUGUGUAACCGUGGUGCAAACGUCCAUUAUCUAUAAACAAAGGGAGCACCCAAAAUGGUGAAGCAUUCAAAUACCAUAUAUUGUCUGUCCCUCAUGAAUUCAAAAUUUGCAAUUGAAUUAAAAAGAGUUAGCCAAAGGCGAAUUUGAACCAUAUUAUUGCUAGCUCAUUGUAAGGCUUAACCUACUCCCCCACCCUCAUAGUGUAGAUAAUAUCGCUUGUUAAAAAAAAUAAAAAUUCAACACACGUUGAUUUUGAUGAUUUAAACUUUAAAAAUUUAGGAAAAAAAUAACAAAAAUAGAAAACCCCCAUUAGUGGGUGGUUUAUGAUUUGUGACAUCCUUUCCCAAGAUUUAUCGUAUUUUAUUAUCAGUAGUAGUGAAAUUAUCAAAAUGCCCCUGAGAUGCCACGUAGGCCUUCCACGUGGAACUCAAUUUUCCUUUCACUUUUCCAGUCUUAUUUUACUAUUUUCAAAUAGUACUUAUUUUUACGAACACGUGGUUGCAGACGGAACUCAAUUCGGAGUUAUAACGAACAAGUUAUGUUCGAAACUGUGUAAAAAUACGUACUUAAGGCAAAUCCUAAACUUGGAAAUUUCCCACAUGCAACGCACAUCCUUGUUGGAACAUUAUUGAGUGUUGAGUGGGUCUUCGUGCAAUGGGUGGACCCUUGCAAUUCUUAUUUCCUAGAUAAAAACUCACCUAAUUCUAAACAUCCAAAUAAAAUCCAAAUUUGAAAAAGAUUGCCAAGUAGAAAAGUAAUUGACCUAUUAUUACAAAGGUCGUAGCUUUCGAAACAAAGGUCGUAGCUUGCCCAAAUGUAUAUCCUUUUUUGGCACCCUCAACACCUUCUCUACAUCGGCCAGCUCUCGCCCAGGCAGUUUGAUGGUGCCUUGGGUCACUGCAUGAAAAAAAAUGUUAGAAGCAAGUAGAAAUCACAACAAAUAGCAAACAAUGCGAACAAUGGAUGCAUUACAACCUACAGUCUAGAAAUGAGUAGGAACACAUCGCUCAGGUGUGACACCCCUAGCAUGCUCUUAAUCCUUAUAAAGAAGGCACCAACGGUUUUUCCAAGUACAGUACGCCUUUUUCUUACCAAAGACAAUACGCUCCCUCUCACUUCGACACGCACACUCGGCAUAACCAGUGCAUAACUUCACUGGACACAUCUUAUAGCAAUAGCACCACUGAUGGAAGGAAGGCUCACAUAACCCACACUUCAUCCAAAUAAUAUAAAACCCGAUCAAGGUCUCCCAAAAACCAGGGUUGAGUUGCCCAGGUGCAUAUCCAAUGAGAGAUAGCCUAUGUUGCAACUAUGGGUGCAAGGGUAGCUUCACCCCUAAUAAAUUCACUAGUAUUUGGGUGUAGAACAUGACGUGACCCUUGGGCAGCUCAGUGAGCAAUUCUUCAUAACGCACCAAGCACAUUCCUACACUACAGGGUAUGCUACAUGACUGCCUUAGGGCAUCAAGUUGUUCUUCGCUAUCUAACAAGUUUUUAUCUAAAUGGUCCGUUGGGAACUCAGAGCGAAAGAUGAGUAUUACGUCAAGAGCAAUCCCCUCACCCACCGACAUGAAUGAGGAAGAACCAAUAUUGGCUAAGGUUACAUCCUUCAACCUACACUCCUCACUUAUCCCUUCAUCGGAAGCCUCGGGAGAAAAACGUGUAAUGCAUGUUUGACGAUUAUGAAGAUCAUCCAAUGUUUCUUCUGUACAAGACUCUAACAAAGGCCCUAAAGAAUCUGACAUUGCAGGCUCAAACCUAGAGCUAGAGCUAGGGAAAGCCUCAUCACUAGAACCUCCAAGCUCUGACAUCUAUAACAAAUAGAAACAAACUCUAUCACAACGUGAAAGAUCGAAACCUAAGAAGUUCCUAGGGCAUGAAACAAAGCUCAACCAGUUCAUCAUGUUCUUAGCUAAAUGCAUGAAUACUCAAACAAUUCAACAAGAAUGAAAGCAUUUAAUCUAAUGGAGAAGACUACCAACCUGAAAAUGGUGCCAAGCACUGCCAGAAUCACUCCCAACUAGAGAGCACUUUGUCUUCAAAAAUCACUACAAAAUGAGCAAAUGAAGGCAAUGUAAAGAGUGGAAACUUAUCCUUCUUAUAUAGUUCAACAUGGCCAAAGAAAUUCAAAAUUUAAAUUCAAACCAUGAGAAAACCCCACAUGGAAAGUCUUCAAACUUCCACACAAGCCAGGGAGUUUCAAAUUCCAAAUUUCCAGUUUCCCAAAAAAAAAAACAAAUAAACAAAAAAAAAGGAGUUUUAACGAAAUACCCGCGGUACUGUUCACUUUAAUGAAAAACCACAUUUUUAUACUAAAAAGUCAAACCUAGUACUAUUCACUUUACCCUUUAUUUUGUCCUUAUCGUUAAAACUCAAAGUUUUCAAGCCCUUUUCAUUAGUUUUCCUAAAAAAAAAAGGGAAACACAACAACUUCAUCAAUGGAGGGCAACUACAAUUCUUAAAAGCUUCACACACUCUUGAUCAAGAUAGUGUGAAGCAAAACCCAUUUAUGGUGCCAACAAAUAUUCAUCAAUAGAGGGCAACCACAAUUCUCAAAAGCUUCACACACUCUUGAUCAAGAUAGUGUGAAGCAAAACCAAUUUAUGGUGCCCAACAAAGCUUCAACAAAUGUAGGGCAACUAUAAAUGUCAAAAGUUUCACACACUCUUGAUCGAGAUAGUGUGAAGCAAAACCAAUUUAUGGUGAUCAACAAAAAGCUUCACUUACAAAGCUUGAACAUAAAAGCUUCACCUACAAAGCUUCAACCACAAAGCUUCACCUACAAAGCUUGAACAUAAAAGUUUCCCCUACAAAGCUUCAACUACAAAGCUUCACCUACAAAGCCCCAACAUAAAAGCUUCACAUACAAAGCUUCAACCACAAAGCUUCAACUAUCCAAGCUAGGUGCCCAAACAAAAACCUACAACCAAAAACCUACAAUCAAUAAACCCACACCCAUUACACUACAACAUACAAUAAACUAAAAAAUCACAAAACCCAAGAUUCUCUUGAAUAUGUACAAUAACACAUGUUUAAACAUAAACGAUUUUUGUUUACAUCCACAAGGUCCCUAUCAUAAACAGACAUUCAUGUCCUAUUAACAUUGUUGAUGCACAAAAUCAAUGGGGAUUUUGCUACAACAGAAAGUGUUAAGUUUGUAACCUUUGCUAGAUUGCUCCGGUCACAAGUGUGGAUAAAUAUGCAAAUGGAUAGAGACAGAGAAGCAAACGCAAGAUGUACGUGGUUCACCCAGAUUGGUUACGUCCACAGAGUAGAGGAGUUCUCAUUAAUUGUGAAGGGUUUACACAAGUACAUAGGUUCAAGCUCUCCUUUUGUGAGUACUAGUGAAUGAUUUAGUACAAAUGACAUUAGGAAAUAUUGUGGGAGAAUGAUCUCCUUUUAUAGAAGAGAGUUUCUAGCUUUGUUCUUACAUUGACACAUGUCGUGUUAUGAUUAGCUUUUGAUGUUAACACAUGUCACGCUAUGAUUGGCUUCUGAUGUCAACACGUGUCGCGCUGUGAUUGGCCUCCUGGUUGGAGGGAAACUCUUCUGGGUCUUUAACGGUAUAACGUUGACCGGUGCUUAGUAGUUUCGGGAUUGAUCAAGUAUGGUAUAAACAAACAUGAUAGCUCCUUUUUUAAUAUUAUUAUUCCUAUGUAUGUGAUAUUGCAUACCACUACCAGAAAACGUGAUAUCACACAUACUUCUAUUAUAUAUAUAUAUAUAUAUAUAUGAUUUCAAACAGAUUAUAAUAGAUUAAAAACAAGUCAAAAUUCCAAGUUCAAUGGUGGACAAAAAUACAAGAAAUUCACCAAUAGUGAAGGUGCUACAAAAACUUAAAUCUUCUCUAGACUUUUAAACCUCAACAGCGACAAGGGUAAGCUUCCAAGCACCAAACCCCUUCACAGUCACGACAAAACCUAAUUUUCAGGAACAAACCCAGACAUUCUGUUAUCCGCAAAGCCCUGCUACCCAAACUCUCGAAGCUUGUAGAUCACAAAUGGCACCCAAGUCAGCCACAUACGAAGGCCUUUUGCAACUCACAACCUUCCUCUGAACUUCUGCGACCUACAAAAGCUUCAACAACAGUCUAAUCAACAACCCCUUGUCUGGAAAAACUCACGAAAAAGAUAAGAGCAUCUUUAUCUUCUUUUUCAACUCAUUGUUUAUUACUUUAAUAUUAUGUUGACUAAAAGCAUAUCACAUACACACCAUUUUAAUCCAUUAAACACAUGGGUAGGCUGAUCACAUUCACCUAAAACCCUAUUUAAUCCAUACACCCACUACACCAUUUAUAUUACUAUUGUUAUUAUUACAUGACAAUUGCUAAUCACGUGGCAUAGACUGAUCACAUCACAUACCUGAUUCUCACAAUUAUUAUUUUAUUUGACAAAACCAGUUCUAUGACUUGUCUUCUUGUUAAAUAAAAUGCCGAUACACAAAUAAAUUAUUAUUUUAUAAUUUUUACUAAUGUUCUAUUGAUAUAACAGUUUUAUCAUGGGACAUGGCAACCGUACCACAUACAUUCUAUGGAACCAAAAUUAUUGAUCGAUGAGCCAUGUGCUUAUUUUGACAACUGGGCUACUAGCAAGACACCUCAUUCGGCAAUUCUUCUGGCCUGAAGAGUUGGGGGACUUCCACUAUAUGCUACUACACCAUGGUACUCGAUAGUUUUGUGACUACUCAAUGACUUAGAUCUUUGACUUAGAUCUUUCAAGUCCCCAACCGAGAAGCUUUCCUUUCUCAGGAAAUUAAGGGAGCACUGUGGCAACCUAAAGGCUUCACCCAGAAAGCUUCAACAUACAAGCUUUAACAAAAAAAAAAUUCAAAAGCUUAGUGAAGUAUGCCUUAGUGUAUUUAACACAAUACAUUGAAUGAAAAAAAAGCUUAUUCAUUGAUAUCUUCGAUAAAUUACAGCUAUGUGCAUACACAUGAAUCAAAACAAACAAACAGGAAUGAGUCUUCACAAAAGUUGUUCAUGAGAAGCCUCAGGACUCGGCAAAGCCCCAAAAAGAGAAGGCACCAGAGAGUGAUUAUUUGGAGCCUCAGCACUAGGCAAAACCCUAGAAAGAUGAGGCACCAGAGGUUGAUCAUUUGGAGCUUCAAUACGUGGUAAUGCUCUAAAAGACUGAGGCAAUAAAUGCCUUUGGAACAAACCCACAAACCUUUGGUGAUCACUUAAAAUCUAACUCUCGGAUUCCUGCAGCCGGUCAAGCUUCAUAUUCAUGCUCGUGGAGUAGUUAUGUGCAAGUGUGUGCAACUAUCUAUUUUCAUGCUUGAGCCCUCUAAUUUCUUGUUUGAGACUUGCCACCUCAAUCGUCAAUGAUUCAACUUGGCGGGUUCGAGCGAGUAAGCGCUGACCCAUAUUGGAUACAGAACCCGUGCAUUGAACACUAAGAGACAGAGAAUCCUGAACAGCCAACACAUUGGACCGUUUGGAAAAUAUCAUGUUAUCUUUGGGAGUGAGAAGAUUCUUGGCCACCACCAUAGCAGUAAUGUCAUUCUUCAUCACAGAGUCCCCAACGGUAAGAGGACCAGUAGGGGAUAAGAAGGAUACGUACCAUAUGUUGUCUUGAGGAGACAUGGAUGCCUCUUCCACAACAUUCAAGUCAAAACGACGGUCAAAUGGGCAAGCCAUUUCAGAAAUGAUGAAGGAAAAAUAAGGUCCAAUAAAUCUCAGAAGUACAAAAGUAGGGGGAAAUUUCUAUGAGCAGUAACUUUCUGAAUGUACUUCCUGAACACAAUUGGUGCCCUAAUAAAAGAAAGGGCAAUAGUACUGCUUGUUCAAAAAUUAAAGAGGCACCGCUCUCUGAAUUUUGAGAGUCAGAUUUCCCUGGAUAAAACUUGUCUGCAAUCUACAUACGUUGCAGCCUUCCGGAUACCACGGGUAACUUUGCCAAAUAUCUCUGACAAAGUUAAGACACGUGAAUUUUGAAGGUCCAGCUACCAUACUAUUACCCACCAGGGUAAAGGAACAACACCACUACUUGCUAAUUAGAAAAUCCCUAGAUGUGUCGACCUCCGUCCUCUGUGGUCAAGCAUACUUACGAGUAUACCUAAUUUUUCCUCAUCUCCAAGAUUGCGUCUUCAACAGAUUUGCUUGUUCAAAAAUCGAAGAGGCAACGCUCUCUGAAUUUCGAGAGCCAGAUCUUCAACAGGGUUGUUUGUUCAAAAAUCGAAGAAGCAUCAUUCUCCGAAUUUUGAGAGCCAAAUUUCCCUGAAUAAAAGUUGUCUGCAACCUUUACACGCAACAUCAGCUUUUUGGAUACCAUGGGUAAUUUUGUCAAAGAUCCCUAACAAAGUUAAAACGCGUAAAUCUCGCAGCUCCCACUACAUCGUUAUGACCAAGAAGGGUAAAGGAACAACAUUACUACUUGCUGUUGGGAAAAUCCUUACAUAUGUCGACCUUCAUUAUCAAUUGCCAGGCAGACCUGCAAAAAUGCCCAACCCUUCCUUACAUUCGAGAGGGAACUCCCAACAAAACCUCUCGAAAUACUCAGCUAUUUUUCCCACCGAUAAUACCUCUGCAAACAAGUCACACUAAAGCAAGAGCAUCUCAUAUCAUCAGGGUCAAAAGCAAGAGUAUCCAAUAUCAUGUUUUUUCCUUAUCUUUUCCUUUGCCCUUGCUCUUACAUGCAAGACAAGGAGAAAGAAAACAAUCAGUCGGAACCUAAAAUCAAACUUCCAAUUUGGAACAAAUUACCCGGAACCUUUGUCUGGUUGCUUACCUAGCAUUACUCUCGAGUACUCAUCCUCAACUGUUGUCAAGGUCACAAAUUCCUUAGGCAAAUACCUCGGAACCAUUCAAAUGCAAAUGUUACUCACCAUUUAUGCUAUGCAAAAGAUUGAAGUAGAGGGUUUAAUGAUGAGCUGGAACAUGUCACUACAGCACAACGCCUUUCUUGCAGAACUGUAUAAUCCAGACGGAUGAGUUUAAGUCAAAUCCAAACUCGGCACCGCCGCCUUAUUUGAAUAGCUCGAGAAGCUUCAACAACUUUUUGCUGGCACUGUCGUCGAAGAGCAAAGUCUCACCAUACCACAUCCACUACUUUGUCAACAACAAAAGUAUCACAUGUCAUCAGGGUCGAACGUACUCUAGAUUUGACGGACUUGUUUUGACCCUCAAAUUCUUGAGUCAGCUCACUUCUUUGAAGGAAACUAGAAAACCCUCCAACCUAGUUCAAGAAUAAGCCCGUGGAAAGUCAACAAGUACAACAAAACACGUGCCGAUUCAUCCGUUGCUCCUUCAAAAGCAAAAGUAUCUCAUAUCAUCUAUUCUCCCUGUCAUUUUCUUUGUCUUUGUUGCUGCUUGCAAAACAAGGAAAAGGAGAACAAUCAGCCAUAACCCGAAAUAAACUUCCGAUCUAAGACUAAUUACUAAGAACUCUAAUUGCUUACCUUGUCUGUCACCUCUUUCGACAAAUCUCCUAGCUCAGCAACUUGGGAGACUUCUACUAUAUGGUUUGUAUAACACUUGACCAAGCCCAAAACUACAAGUAAGCUUCAAGUGAAAAUGAUGCAUUACCUUGUGCAUCAACAUUAGUUAAAGAUACUACUCCUGGAUGAAGGACAAGUACCUCCAAAGAAGAUGCCACAUCUGCCUAGGGGAAAACUAAAGAGCAUACCACUUCUACUUAUGGGACAAAGGCAAGUGAAAAUGAUACCACAUUUCGGUACUUAGAAGUUUCGUGAUUACUCAGUGCCUUGGAUCUUACAAGUCCCCAACCAAAGAGCUUUCCUUACUCAGGAACUUAGGGGAGCAUUGUUUGUACCAUACUUGACCAAUCCUAAAACUAUUGAGCAUCAGUCAGCAUUAUACCGUCAAGGACCCACAAGAAUUUCCUUACAACCAUGAGGCCAAUCACAACAUGACACAUGUCAACAUUAGAGGCCAAUCACAGCACGACACAUAUCAAUGUCAGAAUAAAGCUAGAAACUUUCUUCUAUAAAAGUAGAUCAUUCUCCUACAAUAAUCCUUAAUGUUAUUUGUACAAUACUUCUCUUUAGAACUCACUUCUGAGGAGAUUGAACCUAUGUUUUAGUGUAAACCCUUCACUAUUAAUGAGAACUCCUCCACUCCGUGGACAUAGCCAAUCUGGGUGAACCACGUACAUUUUGUGUUUGCUUCCCUAUCUCUCCCUUCACAUACUUAUCCUUACUAGUAACCGAAGCAACCAAGCGAAGGUCACAAACUUGAUAUUUUCUGUUGUACCAAAGUUCUCGCUGAUUUUGUGCAUCAACAGCUUUUAUAUAUUAUGACGUGACAUGCCAUGUUUAGCUUUACAAAUAGACUUUUCGUACACUUUAUGUUUUUAAUAUUAUUUGUGAGCAUAAACUUGUGACAUGACAUCCUUGCGUUUUAUCUGCUCAUUAUUACAUGUUUGCACAAUGUCUCUUAGUUAUUUGUAUUGUCCUGGGCUAAGGACCAGUUUCACAUGUAGUUCAUAUGCACCAUUUACAUUUGCUUUGGAUCUAGAGUUAGGUGUCAGUUUGUCCUUUGUAUUGAUGUGUUAGACUCGUAUGUGAUGCGACUAGCGCAACUCACGUGAUGUAGUACUAGAAUGUAAAACCUACACCCAGCCUGUUCCAUUGUCUUAAUACCUCUGCAAUGGACUUGUAUGCCUACAUAAAUUAAUGAGCAUUGAUUUCUUAUGAUAUCGAUUUGAGAUUUAUUGUUGAGGAAACUUAUUAUUGUACCCUACAUCUUUUACAAAACUUUAUUUUCAGACCCACUCACCCUUAUUUUUGCCCUUCCAGGAUGUUAGUGGUAGAGGAUUUCGUGACAACGAGGAUUGUUGGCAAAAGCUGUUACAUAGGAGACUUCUCUUUUCAGUGUAAAUGUCAUUACUCUUCUUUUAUUGCAAUUUAUCUAUGCUUUGACAUCACUUGUGUGAUAUGGAUUCAAUCCCCACUCACAUGCGCACUCUAAAUUAGUCACUUUUAGGUUUUAAUUUAUUCACAUUUUUCACAUCAUUACACUUUAUGGCUUCGUCACCUUCGGGUGUCCAAGUGGACAUUCCCGAUCAGGGUGUGUCAUGAUUGAUUUCCAAUCUAUUUUCCAAUAUAUUUUUUAAUAAAAUAUAUAAAUAAAUAACCUAAAUUUGCUAGUUUAUUUUGUAAAAAAGAAAAAACAAAAACUUAAUUUAAUGUACAAAAGAAGUGAGUGACAAGAUGUUAGUAUAUAAUUAAGCAAGACUAGAUUUAGUAGGAUUCUAGCAGCGAUACUUACGACCAAAUUUUAGUAGGGAGAGAGAAACAAACACAGAACCUCGAGUGCCAAAGUAAUUUUUUUUAACUACUUGAACUACAAACCCCUUACAUACCCCCAUAUAAUACUUGAAAACGAUAUUAUAUUGGGGUUUAUGUCUCCCACUGUUUUUUUUUUUUUAAUCUAAGACAACAAUUAUGGCGUGCUUAAUGUGACCUCAACAUGAGGUGAUAAUUAACGAAUUUCUCAUGCUCUUGAUUUAAUUUUCCAUACAACCAAUCACUUUAGAACCCUGCUUAGUUACAAGCCCACUACAAAGCUCGACAUCUCCCACUAUUAUUAAUUUUUUUCUAGUUAUAAAGUUUAUGUAUAACUAAUCUGUUUUAAUGUGCUAAAUAAUCAUAUGAAAAAGUGUUUAUUUCCCUGUCUACCAUUAGGUUUAGUUUUUCUGCAACUAUUUUUAUUAUGGGGUAGACUCCUGAUUUAGUGCAUGUAUUAUCACUUGAGUGAAAAUUAGGCUCCUAAAUUAUUAUUAUUUUUGUAAAAUAAGUCACUAAAUUCAAUAAAAUUGCUAAUUUCAUCCCUACUAUCUUAUUCAAAAUUAUUUUAUCCAAUUUUUCAUCAACUUAACCCACAUGAUACAUUCUAGAGGGUAAUACCCUCAUUUUCUUGCUUAUACGCCACUAACGCCUAAUUUACUCUCAAAAGUUAACUUCAUACACAAUAUCUUUGAGAAAACAAAGUCCUUGGACUCAUGUAAAACUACCAAUCGACUCUUCAAAAUGUAACACAUGCUAGUCAUGUGACUUAAAUUAACGAAAAAUUAAAUAGAAUAGCUUAGUGUAAGGAUUAAAUUUUUCGUAUAAAUAAUUUAGGGACCUAAUUUUCACUCAGUCAAUCAUUUAAAAAGUAAAUCGGCAGUUCACCCUUUAUUUUAUAUAUAUAUAUAUAUAUAUAUAUAGUUUUGUACGUGUAAGUGUAAACACCUCAGCUGCAUUCCUGAUUUGUAGAGAAAAAUUACAGAUGUCCAAUAUAACCCGAACACUUUAUUUUCCAAAUUUUUUUGAGAAAAAAAUGAUAAAUGAAGUGUUUAUCCUUUAUUAUAUAAAAAUGUGAAAAUAAUAAUGAAAUUCUGACACACGUUUCAGCUGUCAGCAAAUUCUUCACUUAUCUCUCGAAUAUCUACUGAGAGUCAAAUUUAACAACAAAUAAUUUUGCUUCAGUAAGAUAUAUAUAUUUAUAGUUAGUCUUCUAUAUAGUUUAAAAUUUUUCUUUCUUACUAUUGUUUCUCCAUUACGAUUUGUCUACGAGUUAAAAUUAGGCACGGAUCUUCUUUGUAAUCCUGUACCCAAGUAGACAAACUUUUGUAGAAUCAAAACAUAUGUAAACCUACUUUCCACUGUCCCAAUGGCUGACUGUCUAAGUUGGACAUGCAAAACCAGUAGUACGUACGGCAGCAUGAGUGUUGAAUAGUUGGGCAAAUUUUGGAUAUGAGAGUCAAAUCAUAUAACACGCUUAGCUUCAGGAUUUUUUUUUUUUUUUUAAAUUUAACGAAAAGUAUCUGAUACUAUUUACUUUAACAAAAAAUCAUAUUUUUAAUUUAAAAAAUCAAUUCUGGUACUAUUCAUUUAUAACACAUUUUUGUCAUUUUCAUUAAAACUCGAAGUUUUUAUGUCAUUUUUAUUAAUUUUCCUUCUUUUCUUUUUUCAGCUAACCAAUGCAUGCGAAAUUUGAAUUAUUAGUUCUUGUUAUUUUCGUUAAAACUCAAAGUGCUUCCCAAACAAAGAAAACAACUUCAUUCUUGCCCGAGUGAUUUGAAUUGGGUUAUACGACAACGUAUAUUUGAAAAGAAAACAUUAAGUUUAAUAUACAUAUAUGUGUAAAAUAUACUUGUACGGACCAAAUGGCUACAGAGUUUAAUUGUUUAUCAAAAAAAAAAAAAUAGCGCGGUGACGCUAAAGAGUGGAUACAUACUUUGAGUCGUGGACAAUGUGAGAUUUUUUAGUAUGAUCGAAAUACGGGAUGGUACGUAGGAUAUGUGUAUUAAAAAGUUAAUAACUUAAAAAAAUAAAAUUUAUCACUACUUAUAUAAAAACAAGAGGUGUACCAUUUAUAUUCCGAUCACAAUGAAAAAUUUCUUGUGGACGAGGAUUUAAACCAAAGCUAGGGUCAACCUUCACAAAUACUCCUUCCAUGACGUUUGGAAACUAAAUGUGACACCAUUAACCACACCAUUUUGGCUUUUAUUUUUAUUUUUAUGUUAUGUUUACUUAUAUUGAUAUUGAUAUAUCUAUCGAUAAUUCUAUAAAUUUACAUAUCGAUGGAUAUAUCGAUAUCAAUAUUCGGUUGCCUUCGACAGGAAUUAUAGAAAUUUGCAAUGGGGGUGGGGGUGGGUAUAUCAACUCAUUUAGAUUUAGUCGAAAUUAGAGAGAAAUCUCUCCAAAAAAAAUCAAAAGUUCGAAAUAUGCAAUGAGUUUGAUCAAAUUUUUUCCAUAUCAACCUUAAUCUUUGAAUAUUUCGACGGAACUAUCAAUAAUUUUGUGGAUAUUUUAACACUGAUUUGAUAGCAAAUCUGUGGUCGUUGGAGAUGCAUCCACAUUGGAUCACUGCUGAAAAUACCAAAGGCAAGAACAAAAAUAUAUCUACAAAUUAUAUGGUCCCUUUUGGAGAUAUCAUCCUUCAAUGUUAUGUCGUAAUCACUCUUUCAAGCGAAAGCUUGAUAUUAUUGAGGAUCUAAGGUUGGUAAAUCUCUGCUUUUUAUAUCAGAAAUCUGCCAGACCACACCGUCCAUGUUAUAUAUGCCUCACAAAAUUAGCGUUGCUACAAGCUUCUAGAUAUGCUACAAUCACAAUUUUUUUUUUUUUUGUCAAAUAGUAGAUUUAUUAGAUUAGAGUAUUUUCAAAGAAGAAGUCAAACUCAAUAUACUAAAUUUCAAUUUGAUGGCUGACUUGAUAAUUUGACAUAUUGUCAAAAUUUUACUUCCACCCGAUAUGCCAAAUUUUAUUGUUUUAUUUAUGUUUUUUUUUAACAAAAAUAAUAAAGUUGGGUUGUUGUUGGUUAAUAAUAAAAUAAUACUUAAAUAUGCUAGCAUUUAAGGUAAGGUAAGUGGAAUGUCUUUGGAAAUAGCAAAAACUAUAUUUGAAGGUACUGUCAAUUUUGACAUCACUCUAUCCAUGUCAACUUAGCCUUCUUUUCCAUGUCAUCUUUGAUAUUUCAAUUGGAGUAAAUGGUACGUCAUUUGUUACUGUUAUAUGUCUAUAUGGCAUUUUUGACAUCUCCUUUGGAGAUGACCUUAGAUGUUAGAUUAAAGAGUCGACAUGGUUCAAACUCACGUCGUGGUGUAAGCCAAACGCUCAUCUCUACCACUAUAAUAAAAUGCCACUGCGAUGCAAGGACAACAUAAUUAUACAUAACUAAAUAUUUAGUUAUUUGAGCCUUCCGUUCUGCAGUUCAGUGGCACUCACCUUCUCUUAGAUAGGAUAUUAUAAGUUGAAUUCCAUGAAUUAUGAGUCUAAAAUUUAAUUAUGACCAAUACAUUGUGUGGUUUAACUUAAAGUUUCGUUCUCCAAUGCCAUUCAAUUAUAAACAUUAAAAAAAAAUUAAUUCUUUGCAACCUAAUGGGCUGGGCUGAGUCAAUCUACUGACAUCCAAUUCAUUGCUCGUGCUGCUCUGUUACUAUGUGAACCCUAAAGCACUGCAAGGUCUACAAUGAGGCCCAGUCCCACUUAGUAGAAUGGCAAGCCACAGCCCAUUGUGGAGGCUAUCAAUUUUGACAAGACAAAAUUCACUUACUCUGGAAUUUUUUCCGUAAUUAUAAAAAUUUAAUUUUUUAUUGUGAUUAUUUUAGGUUUCUUUUAAUAUAUGCAUUUUACCAAAAAUGUUGUAUCAGAUUAAUUUAAGAAGUCAUAUUUCUACACUAUUUUUGUUUUAACAACAAAAUAAUAAGAAAUAACAAAGCUCCUUAUAAACACAUAAACAAAUCACUUGUUAAGCGGCACUGAAUUUUCACUUUGUUGAAAGAUGUUCUUAAUUCAAACCUCAUAAACCGCUAUUGUUAAUUCAAGAACAAAAUCGAGACCUCCCAUGUAUUGUAUUUUUGUGUCAUCUAAUCCACUCGUAAAAGGAAAAGCCGCAUACGAUCCAUCCUACGCAAGUACCCUUCCCAUUUAGGACACGGUUCUAAUCAUGUUUGGUCUUUAGCUUUUGGAUUAGUACCAAUUGGUGAUGGUGGUGGCCCAACUUCAAUGAGUUCAUGAACACGUAACCACUCUGAAUCCAACUUCUCUACGUUUUUUGGAUUUUGAUAUUUGUGAUCUUCCAAAGCGAAAGCGUCAAACGAACGAGAGAUUUUUCAAUUUAUCGUGAUAUCAUGUGUCAUAAUAUAAGUAAAUAGAUACUUGAAAAGGAAAAAAAUUCAACCACUUACAUUGUGAUACUUGAUAUACCAGACCGUGUUCCGACACAUCAAAAAAAUUUCUCCAAACAAACAAGUAAACGACGCCUAAUUGGAAAAAUCAAUUUGAAUAUAAAAGACGAACAAGCAGGUUGGUUCGAAAUCGCCAAUAGAAACUUUCACCUUCAGUUUUAUUAUGUUUCUUUUUUGGUGAUGACCUUAUAAACUUUAUGUUAAUUGAUCACAUCACGGAUUCAUACGUUCACAUAAUUUAAAUUAUGAAAUAUUAAUAUUUUAGUUAUUUUUAGCCGCCUUCUGAAUUCUAAUCCAAAUUUUCUAGCAUUCUCAAGAAAAAAUAACAUGUAUCAUUUUAAAUUGCGAUGUAACAUAUGUCAUUUUAAGUCGUUACAUCAAACAAGCUUCUAAUAUCAUUACUAAUUCAUAACAAAACAAAAUUGGUGUUGAUAAUGUGUAUGUUCUCUUAAACUCAAGUUUGAAAUUCUUACUCAGUAGAUUAGAGCAAUUUUUUUUUUUUAAAAACAAGCAAUAUAAAAAGAGGAAAAAACGCAAGCCCAAACUUGAAUCACAAACUCUUUGCAAAGAUAGCGGGUCGUGGCCACGAUUUUUUUUUUUUUUGAACAAAUGAUAUUAUAUACACUAAAGGAAUGGAGUAGUAAGCUCCUCCCAAUGAGAUAGCGAUAAUGUAAUUCAAAUUUAUCUUUGAUAAGUAUCAAACCUAUAACUGUAGUACAAAUGGCAAGACUUUUGUUAACUUAUCAACAAAAAUAAAAAUAAAUAGGUGUAAAUAAAAAGAUAGGAGUUGGGAGAGAGGAAGGGGAGGUUGGGACCUGGGGAAGGAGACCAGAGUGGGUCAGAAGACUCAGAAGCACACGUUGAUUGUAGGCAACACCAUGUGCUCACAUGUCACAUGCCACUCUUCUUAUUCAUUCAUUUCAUUUCUUACCCCCUCCCCUCCCCUUUGCUCUCCUUCCUCCUCCUCCACAGCCCCCCUCUCUCUCUCAUAGUCACAGUCAAUACUCAUCAUUUCCUAGUCAAAACACAAAACAAAACGGAACCCAACUCGUUCAAUUUCUGAGCUUCUGAGGGUGAAAAAACCAGAAGCUGAAGCAAGAAAAAAAUGAAGGAAAGCUCAGAUGGGUUUGUGAGGGCAGAUCAGAUUGAUCUGAAGAGCUUGGAUGAGCAGCUGGAAAGGCAUCUCAACAGGGUCUUGACUUUGGAGAAGAACAAGAUCAUGAGAGACCCUGAAACCAAUUCCAACAGCAUCCACCUCACCACUACCUCCAACUCCAAUUCAACCGCUACCACAACCCCCACGACCACCACCUCCACUUCCUCCAUGACCCUCUCCAUCCCCAGGCGCCACCGCCAGGAGUGGGAGAUCGACCCCUCCAAGCUCCUCAUCAAGUCUGUCAUUGCUCGUGGCACCUUCGGCACCGUCCACCGUGGCAUCUACGACGGUCAAGAUGUCGCCGGUAAUCCCGUCCUGUCAUUUUAGCUCAUCUUUCAUUUGGGUCCUUUAGAAGUUGUCGAGUUCCUCACUUUUGUGACUUUCUCCCCAAAAAUUCAAUCUUUUUCUUUCAAUUUUCGAUACCCCUUUCUUACAAUGUUAUCUUUUUGUUGUAUCUAUUUUCUGCAGUGUAUUAUGGAUGUUUUUAGCAAAACCCAUUUGGUUUUUUACUUUACUUUAAUUGAAUUUUGGGAGAUAAUUGAAGAUCUUUGUUAAUUUCCACUUUGGGUUUUCUACUGUAAAAUGUAGUUUAAACACAAAAGUAAGGUUGAUUAUGGUGUUGUCUUGCAAUUAUUCACUUUGUUUAGUCAGUUUAAAUGUUGGAUUAGUUGAACUUUGUGGUUGAUCUUGCAAGUCACUACAAGUUUCUUACUUUAUAGUUUAUAUACAUUUAGGUAUUAUAUACAUAUGUGUGUGGCAAAAUUCCAAAUGCACAUAUUCAAUGGACUGCAAUGAAGGUUGCCGAUUGUCCACUGUAAUUGUACUUUUAUGGAGUCCGUGACUCUUACACGGGUUUGUGUUGAAUUUUCUGUUGAGAGCAACUUGGAUAAUGUUGCUGUAUUCCUGACUUUCAUGUGAGUUCCCCACCUGUUAGUUGAAACUUAUUCAACAACCAAAUAGGAAAAAUGUUCAUCCAUACGUAUUUAUGUUAGCGAAACUCCUUAUUUGUCAACACAUUAUUGUAGUUGCUGUUGUCAUCAUCUUCUAAUCCAACCAAAUUAUGACCUUUUCGGUUCUUUGUAUUCUUCUCUUCCUUUUUUCGUUUUGUUGGUUCGUGAUGAUACACAAUCGGGUUGCAAAUUUUACCCUUAUAAUGAAGGCUCCAUUUUUUAAUGCCAGUUAAAUUGCUUGACUGGGGUGAAGAGGGUCACAGGACAGACUCCGAGAUUGCUUCUCUAAGGGCAGCUUUUACUCAAGAAGUUGCUGUCUGGCAUAAACUAGAUCAUCCUAAUGUUACUAAGGUAACUUUCCACCUCUCUUUUUUAAGAAUUUUCGGACGUGUCAUUUGGAUUUGAUCGAUUCUUCUAACUUUUAUGAAUAUCAAAACCCGAAUGUGUUUGUUUUAAGAAAACCUCUAGCAUAUGCAACACUAAGGACAUUCACUAUGUCACUUCACUAGGGUUGGUUUUUCUGCGGUUAUCCAUAGGGCGUCCACUGACCAUGCAAAGGUUUCUAACUUCCUAGUUAUACAAUUGUUCUCUAGUCAGCGUACCAUUAUCCUCCUUGAUUUAUCAUGGCCUAAGGUUGCAACCGUACCUGAGACAGUUGCCUUCCUUUUCUUUGGUAUCCUUCAGUUGCAUCUCUCACCACCUGAGUGAGGUAGAAGCAUUAGAGCCUGUUUGGUACUGUACUUGAAUCUAAUUUUUUAAACUCAAAAGCACUUUUCAAGUUUUAGGCCUUAAAAACUUGUUUAGUAUGACUAUUUUCAAAAACUAAACUCAAGACUAACUCAAAAAUAUAGUCUAUUCUCUAAAAACAUAAAAAGUGAGUUUUUAGAGUUUUUAAACUUAAACCCACUCAUUUCUUUUCUCUCUCUCUCCUCCCGUCUCACUCCAAAUCUAUCUCUCUCUUUUCUUCUUUCUUUAUCCUUUUUUUUUUUACCUUUUUCGUCUCUCCUCCAAUCCAAUCAAGUUUAAGUCAUAAGAUUUAAAAAUUUUAAAUAGCAAACUAAUUAAGUUUUUGAGUCUUAAAGAAAAUUGUUUUCAAGAAAUGUUCUUAAGAAAUGUUUUGAGAAAUGAUAAAAAUUUCAAAUAUGAUACCAAACAGGCUCUUAGUUUUUGUAUCAUGAAUUUUCAGAAUUUACUUAGCAAUAUCAGGUAGCAAAUAAGUUAAGCGAUGACUUUUUAAAUAUCUGCACAGUAGUGAAUACAUGCUACAUUUUCUUUUGUCCGGACGUCAUACAUACGACAAUUUUCUAUGCUAUUUAACAGGCUAUAAGAAGUUCAAAACUUUAAUGCUGCUUCAGUACAUUAAAUGCGCGCAUAAAAUAUUUGUGAUUAUCUUUUGAUUUCCAGAAAUAUGAUACACAUUGCUAUUGCUUUCUAGUAGUUUUUAUUAUAGAUUGAAUCUCGCUAAUCUUCUGGUCUGUUGAUGUCCAGUUUAUUGGGGCAACAAUGGGUUCAUCAGAUCUACAAAUACAGACAGAAAAUGGUCAAAUUGGCAUGCCAACAAAUAUCUGUUGUGUCGUUGUAGAAUAUCUUCCUGGGGGUGCUCUAAAAUCGUACCUCAUAAAGAAUAGGAGAAGGAAGUUAGCUUUUAAAGUCGUUGUCCAGCUGGCACUAGAUCUUGCUAGAGGGUAUCCCUUUUCAGUUCUUAUGCUACUAUUAAUUUCCUUUUUCUUAGAGCAUUGUAAUUUAGUAGAUAAAGAGUGAGCUUCAGGCUGCGUUAUUGUCAAGCCAAGCACUUAGACUUACUUGUGCUGUAUUUUAUAGGUUGAGCUACUUACACUCACAGAAGAUUGUCCACAGAGAUGUAAAGACAGAGAACAUGCUUCUGGACAAGACUCGUGCGGUCAAGAUUGCUGAUUUUGGUGUUGCUCGUGUUGAAGCUUCAAAUCCCAAUGACAUGACUGGGGAGACUGGCACACUAGGUUACAUGGCUCCUGAGGUAUUUGGUCUACUUUAGUUGCUAAAAUUAUUCUGGCUACGACUUCACCACCUUACCAGCUACGUUUCUUGAAUCUUAGGGAGUCGGUAUUCACAUGUGUAUGCGCAUGUAGUUUUAAUACGAUUCUCUUAUUGCAUGAAAAUGAAACUCUGGCAUUUCCAAACCCUGUUUCGCUUGACAUAACGGGGGCAGUUUUGCUAAUAUUUAUGCUGAGAUAGGAAGCAUACAAUAAAAGAAUUGUUUACUGGAUGCUUAAUGACUUGCCAUAUGGAUGGGUGACAGGUCCUCAAUGGCAACCCGUAUAACAGGAAAUGUGAUGUGUACAGUUUCGGCAUCUGUUUAUGGGAAAUAUAUUGCUGUGAUAUGCCAUAUCCUGACCUUAGUUUCUCGGAAGUGACUUCAGCUGUGGUUCGCCAGGUUAACCAUUCUCCUAUCUCAACCAUACGCCCAAGUUGUCAUUUUUGUGUUGCUUGAAAUUAAUCCUUUUAUUUACGCCUCUUGGCAAUUACAGAAUUUGAGACCGGAGAUACCAAGAUGUUGUCCAAGUGCGCUUGCAAACGUAAUGAAGCGAUGCUGGGAUGCGAAUCCAGACAAGCGGCCUGAGAUGGAUGAGGUAGUCACAAUGUUGGAGGCGAUCGACACAUCGAAAGGCGGAGGUAUGAUCCCUCAAGAUCAGUCUCAGGGCUGUCUUUGCUUUCGAAAGAAAAGAGGACCGUGAAGAUUUAUUCAUUGAAAGACCAAUUGGGAUAUGAUUGUUUUUAAGAUCAAAAGAGUCCAAUUUGUACUUAAGAUAGCAAACAGAAGAAAAGAUAUCUGGAAAAUCAAAAGGAGAUGAACAGAAAGGUGGUGGAAGGUAAUGGCUUCCGGGUAUACAUUGACGAGCAAUGCUAUUUCUCUUAUUAUCUUGGAGGAUGUAAAGCUUUUAUUUAAUAUUGUUCCCAUUUUUUUUUCCUUUUCCUUAAACGAAUGUGUAUUAAUUUGACUGGCACUACCAGCUUCUUGUAAGAUCCAUUAUAUACUAGUUAUAUUGUCAUGAAUUUAUGAUUAAAUUAACCAUAUUUCUGUAUCUAUUUAAUUUGAUUGACAUUGUGUAUGAUAGACAUUCUUCGAGACCCUCGCAAAGCCGGGAACUUUGUUUGUGGAUGCAAAUUUCCCUCCCUCUUCUUCUUUGGCGAAAAUGCACCUGCAAAAUAAUAACAUCUAAGAUCAAGGCCAAGAGAAGUUAGCUUUUUGGUGGAGAAAUUGGACUAUAUAUAGGGGUGUGGCCGGCCCUAUUUGGAGAAUAAGGACCGGUCACUUAUGGUGGUAUUUUGAAUAUAAUUGCAAGAUAUUAUGUGAAAUAAUAUCUUACAAUUAAUUUGGUAAUUAAUCCUAAAUUGAAUAGGAAAAUUGAGAGUUAUCUUUUGAGUGAAGAUUUGACGAGGAAUGAUGAGAGGGAUUUAAAUAAAUACCAUCUUUGACUCUUUCUUGAUUGAGUCUUGUUCACUUGAGGUUGCCUUUAGUUUCUGGUGUGUACUCUUUUGAUGAAUUAUUUUGGUAAUUGACUGCAGGAAAGUGUUCGUCCCAAAAAAAAAACAAAGAAAAAAAAUCAGCACAGUGAAUUGAGAAAUAGAUCUUUUUAUAUAACCAACAUUGCAAAUUACAAUUUACAAUUCAAAAUUUGAGAACAAAUAAAGGAAUAAAUGAAUAAAAAGCUCAAGAAUUAGUUGGUCCUACAAAAAGAUAAAGAAUAUUGAAGCAAGAAGCUCCCUAAUCCCUAUCAUUUCUUCUAAAUAUCAGAGAGUUGGAACUUGUUUUAUUGGUUUUUCUUCCUCUUCCCAAUUGGUGGUCUGGUAGUAGGUUGCAUAUAGAAUGAACUGCACCAGGCCAGACAAUGAUCCCAAACUCAUGUUUUUCAAGCCAAGCCCACCCGGAUACUUCGGAAGGCAGACUUAGCUUCAUUUAAGCAAGUUGACUUUACUUUUGGAUUGAGUGGAGCUCCAGACGAAAUUCUUAUUCAACCUGUCAAGUUGAUCACAAAUGAUAGGUGGUAACUUCACUAUCUGCAUAGUAUAUACUGGGAUUGCAGGGGUGACAGAUUGAACAAGAGUGGCCCGACUAGUUCUAAAUUCACCUUCCAGGCAGAAAGUUGAGUUUGAACUUCUCUACCAGGCUUUUGUAGGUGUUUUUGUGAUGCGAAAAUGAAUGAGCGGAACUCCCAAAUACUUCCCCAAAUCAUCAGUUAGAGGGGAACCACAAAUGCGACUAGGAACAAAAGCCAUUCCACGAUUAAUAUUAGCAGGGCAAUAAAUUCUAGAGUUUUCAUAACUUAUUUGCUGCCCAGAAGCCAAGCAAAAUUUAUCAAAGACAAUGCUUGAUUAGAAUUGGAGUGGGGGUAAAAAAACAAUAAGAGUGGUCUUAUUUCAAAGCACAUUCUAAAUUUUCAUAUAAAAAUAAAUAAAUAAAUGUUAUUUUUACUAUGUAUUUGUACCAUCAUUUGUAUGAACUCACAAGUAUUGGUGGGCCUACCUCUAUUAGGGAGAUUGUACAAAUAAAUGGCAAAUGUGUAACAGUUUAGUGGCCAACAAUAAAAAAUCUCAAAACAUACGCAUAAUUUUUUGUGAAUACGGUAACUUCUGAUAACACCGGUAUGGUUGAGACUUGAGAUUGUUUCUAAGAUGAAUGGUGGAGAUUAGUUAGUUAAUUAUCAAGCUAGUUACUCUAACAGCAUUGCUUUAGUGUGUAACAGUUUAGUGGCAAACAAUAAAAAUAAUCCUCAAAACAUUCACAUAAUUUUUUGUGAAUACGGUAACUUCUGAUAACAGUUGUAUGGUUGAGAUUGUUUCUAAGAUGAAUGAUGGGGAUUGGUUGGUUAAUUAUCAAGUUAGUUACUCUAACAGCAUUGCUUUGGAGCUAAGCAACUACUCUUUGUACAAAAUAGGGUAUGAGAGAUCAGUGUAAUUCUAAGAAGAAUAUUCAGUUGUGAUAAUUCAGGCUAUAUAUACAGCUCUCUCUCUCUCUCUCCAUUUUUUCUUUUCUCAGUUCAAUACAUUCAACAUGGUUUAUGGAGAAGCACCUCUAGAAAGUAUUUCCAAACGAGUUAAAGAUAAAUGAGGUAGUCUUCAUCUUACAGGCCUUUGACGUAUCGAAAGGUUGGAGCUAUGAUAUCUCAAGAUUACCAAAAAAAAAAAAAGAACAUUUAAGUGACUCAUUGAAAGAUGCUAUUUGAAACUACUGUUUGAAACAUUUUUAGUUAUCUUAAAACAUUUCCAAACGGAUCCUAACAAUUUCAAGUUUGCGAAGUACAACCGUUAUAUAUAAUUAUGGAGCAUAAAAGGUUGUGUUUUAGUUUUUCUGAAGAACAAAAAUUGGAUAAAACUUAUUUCAAAAAGGAAGCAUCAACUGAGCUAAUUUGAGGGUUCAAAUUAAUAGAACCACUAAUAUGCAAAUGACAUUGAUUACCUCAACUGAUACAGUUAAUUGCAGCGGUAAUCUAUCUUUCUAUCUCAUGACUAACUUACAACAAACAAUACAGGCAAAUACCUACAAAAAUUGAGGAAAUGGCUCAAGAACUAAACUAGUUGGCCAUAAAAAAUAAAACAAAAAAACAAAUAUUGAUGCAUGUCAACUAAUUUCUCUCUAAACAACCGACCUACUUAAUGGAACAAAAUUUUGUUGUUGUUUGUCAAUUAAUUUCUUUCUAAACAUUAGACACUUGGACCUCUGACCGCGGCCUGUCAUUCUCGUCGUCUUCCCAUCGAGUGGUUCUGUAGAAUAUGGCGUACAAAAUGAGCUGCACUGCGCCGGAAAUCGUUCCCAAACCGUUUGGAAGCUACCAAAGUUAUUCAAACAAAUAUGUUAGAAACUUAAAUAUAAGUUUUUGAUUAUUUUUUUAUAUAUUUGUAUAGGAGAAGUUCUUUGAUUUAUUACUUGGCCCUCAUAUCGUCAAUUAAUAUGCGUUGAAACUUAAUUCGGUUUAUAAAUUACCAGAAUAUUGGCAUCGAAUUUAAGGAGUGAGUAGACCAGCCAAACAACCCCAUUGAAGAAGUUAGCAAGUGACAGGUAAAAUGGCAUAUACUUCACGCUCUUUGUCUUGAUCACCAUACGCUGCCAAACAACCCCAUUGAAGAAGUUAGCAAAUAUAUGUAAUUUAUUUACUCAUAGAUCAAUGAAAUGGAGAGAAACUUGGGUAGGGUAACAACAGUCACGCACUCUCACAAAGUAACAGGUCUCAUUGUAUUUGGCUAUGUUCCGGUCUUAUGUGAUACAAUUAUCAACGAACACCAUCACAGCCUUUCUGCUCUACUUAAGGUUUUUUCUAAUGACGAGAUUCAAUAUUAAUUGAGGGUGCUUAGUAAUUAAUAGAAAUAUAUAUAUACAUACCAUGACUGUCAAGGGUGAUAAAUACAUAAGGAUGUUGAAGAUAAUGCAGAUGAUUCCAACUACCAAAGACCGGUGUCUAGUUGUAUGGAAAAUGUACAUGGUAACCAAAACCACAAUAACAAAGAAGAUAACUUCAACCACAAGUGCUUUAAAGAUCGUUAGCUGAAAUCCAAGAAAAGGAAAGAAAAAAAAUUAGGUUAUAAGUUUUACCGCAAUAACAAAGAAGAUAACUUGAAUAACAAAGAAGCAUUAAUACUCAAUUAAUUAAUUUAACAACGUAACGUUUUGGUACACAAAACUAACUCACUGUUAGUAUGCUUUUAAAUAAAGGUGAAUCGUAUCAUUGUACGUAAAAGCUACUUGUAUUCGGGAGCAUAUCAACAAGUGCGUCAAUUUUUUAUUGUACGUAAAAGCUACACGUUGCAAUACAUACUUACGCGUUGUGAGCCUAGAGAAAAGAUGAGGAAGACGAGAAUGUAGACUAGUUCGAUGACAACUCCAGCGCCAUUGAUUGAUACCACAAGAAUGCUGUCAGGAUGGACAAAGGGCAUGCCGUAGAAGACCCAUAAGGCACAAUUCAGCAAUGUUACUACGUAGGGAUCCGGCUUGAAAUCUGAUACUGUUUUUUGCUUUACUAUUCUAUAAAAUGUUGGUCUGCGAUGUUUAAUUCAUUAAUCAACACAGUUAUAUAUUAAUUAGUUUUGUUAUUUCAAAGAAUUAAGAGAGAGAGAAAGAGAGAGAGAGAAUUACAUUGGGGACAGAAACAUGAUCAAAGAGAUGAUAUUUCCUGGAUACAAGGGAUAAAUGGAACAAGAAAAGCAUUAGAGAUGUAGGAUUUAAUUAAAAAAAAAUGUAAAAGAAAAGAAAUACUCGAAGAACAUAACCUAGAUUAAAGAAGAUUACGUUUGGAUAAUUUUUUGUCAGAAGAUAACACAUUCACACAAAAAUCAACCUGAUUAUUAUUUUUAGAUGGGCACGUAAUAUAAACAGUGUUAUCAAAAUGUAGAGAACAUUUCCGAUGUAUUUCUUUCAAAUAAUACAUACAAUAUAUGCAUGCUUCUUUGAUUCUUUGUCAGGUCGUCCCAUGCAAUGAACUCGAUACGUCACGAUUGAUAACGCAAAAACGAAAAAUGAAAAUUGUACAAGUAAGAGGUAAAACACAGCACCGAUCACAAUUUCACUGACCGAUAAUGCCAAUAACCGUUCUGACUAAGCCUAUGUCCACCAUUUAUACGUUGAGUGCUAGCUUUAAUUACUAAACAUCUUAAUGAAUCCAAAUCUUGAUUAUUUAAAGGGUCAACCUGGCCAUCCUAUAUGAAUGGAUGCAUGAAGUUUUGGUCCACUAAAACCGGAGGGUCUCUAAAUCUCUUGACUAAAUUUUCGUCCUUAGUUUUCUAAUCAACAGCAAUUAAAUUUUCUUUUGCUAAUUAAUUAACGGUUCUGGAUAAUUCACCGUUAAAUUAGGAUUGGCAUGAGUGUGGCGAUUCAUCUUCUCACUGUAUAUCUGUUUUCCAUAUGGUGUAUAGUGGCCAUGAAUUAGGGUUCCACAAAAAAGGGAAAACACAAAACCCCCUAUUUCAGGUAGAGUAUAUGUUGAGAAUGAAUCCCACAUUGAUGAGAGAAGACACCUAGCUACUCCUCAUAUUGCCAAUUGGUUUUAUGGUGGAAUCUCAACUUUCUUCAUGGUAUCAGAGCAGGUUGUCCCACGUGUGAAGUCAAACGGUCACACGCGUUCCACUUCACCUCGUUGUGUUGUCCACGUGUUAGGUUUGAAAAUUUGCGUUGAGAAUGAAUCUCACAUUGAUGAGAGGAGAGACCUUGCACGGGCUUAUAAGAGGCUGGGGUACUCCCCAUAUUGCCAAUUGGUUUUAUGGUGGAACCUUAACUUUCUUCAUGAUAUCAGAGCAGGUUGUCUCACAUGUGAAGUCAAACGAUCACACGCGCUCCAAAUCUCUUCUACUUUUCUCCCCUCCUCUCUCACUUUCCUUUAUGGCUUUCUCUCUCUACAAAAAUGCUCUUCUACAUUUCUCCUCUCCUCCUUUGGCUUUCUCUCUCUACAAAAAAGGCUUCAUGGUAGUAGGAUUAUCUCCCUUCCAAAUCUCUUCUACUUUUCUUCCCUCCUCUCUCACUUUCCUCUUUGACUUUCUCUCUAUACCAAAAAAUCAACACAAGAUGUUGACGUGAUUUAAUUGUAAACGUUCAAAUAAAUUGUAAGAGAGGAGAAUGAGAAUUUGGAGGAGAAAGAAUCAUAUUCUAACUUCAUGUUGGUUUUUCAUUUUCAAUAUCAACGUGCAUAAAUUUUUUCUGUUCUCGGAAUUCAAAUUUGGACCAUACUUUUAACAUUUAGAUAGAACAUAGUUACCACGUCUACGCUAAAUGUUAAUUAGUUGGUAUACAUGCACAAUGUGUUACUUACGAGUCUGUCUGACUUCUAUUCUUUCCCCUUAAUCAAGGAUACAGAAUGUUAAUUAGUUGGUAUGUUAAUUAAUCCUACCUACUUUUUUCAAAAGUAAAAACUAUAACAAUCUCUCGUCUGUAAAAUUUGAACCUAGAACGUUUUUCCAUAAAAUAAAGGGUAGAUGUCACUAAUCAAAUGUCCAUCGGCCCUAACAGAACCUUAUAUACUUGGUGCUUGGACUACAAUUUGACAGUUCACAUGAAUUCUAUAAGACCCAUUUGUCAUGUUAUCAGACAGUUUAAGAUUGAUUUAUGGCCUUAAAGUCUUGAGGAUAAUUACGGGCAUAAUAAUCAUUGUGUGGUGAAAAAUCUUGUUAAUGUGAGAGCUUUGCAUUGCAUUGUAGCCACAAUCUGAAGAUAUUUUGAUGAAGACCUAGGGCAUCAUGGAGCACUAUACAGGGAAGAGUAUGGGCAAAGGAGAUAACCCCAACAACUUCAAUAAAAAUCAAGAUUAUUCAAUCUCUCUCACAAAAGCCUCCUAUGAGCAAAUCUCUCAAAGUCCCUCAAAGAGCAAACCUCUAAAAGAAAGCAAGCUUUCCUCAAAGCAUUUCAAAGAGAAGAAGUACCAUUCCUUCUCCAAGUCUCUGUCGAAUCAAGUAGUUUCCGCGAAGACGUAUCAUAUCUUCUCUAAGCUCUCUCUCUCAAAAUUCAAAGCAAGCCUUCUUUGGCAAAGCUCUUGAUUUAAUUUGCUUUCUCUUGUUAUCUAGCUUCUCAUUUUCAAGUUCCCCUUGUAAUAACUAUGUCUUUCAAUAUAAUUUCUCUCUUUGAAUCAUUUUUGUGACUUGGUUUCCUACAAUACAAGAAAAACUGAAGUCCUUAGCAUUCAAGGCAAAAAGAACUCAAAGUUGAGCCUCCCCACUCAAUUACACAAUCUUUUGAUUAGGAGUCAAUUAGGUGCAAUUUUCUAGUACAUGAGAUCUGUCUACUAGCGGCCUCUAAUAGUGACACACCCACAUUAUCGCGAUCUACACUGUCUAUUUAUUUUCCGGGCUCGAACUCUUGGUUUUUUAAGCUUUACAUUUUAAUCAACCUUCUGGUUUUGGAAACAAACAUAGUAGUGUGAUAUACAAUUUUUUCUAUUGAUCCUUGUCAACCUUUUCAUUUUUGCAUGUAAUUAUCAACCCACUGUCACGCAUGAGCUGUACCCGGAUGAUUUAAAGUUUUGAUACAUCCUGCAUGAUUAAAUAUGAUUACUUGAGAAACAUUAUUAAUAAACUAGAUUAAAAGUUAAAAGUAAGAUGUUUAUUUUUUAUUUUUUGAACAAAAGUAAGAUGUAUAUCUAAUUCCCCAACCGCCACAAAUUAAUUAUUGCUUCCCAGACUAAGUUGGGCUGACAAGUUUGCAUUACUGAACCUCCUCGAUUAAUUUUUUAGAAAAACUAAUGAAAAUGGUUUGAAAACUUUGAGUUUUAAUAAUAAGGACAAAAUAAAGGGUAAAGUGAAUAGUACCAGGUUUGACUUUUUAGUGUAAAAAUAUGAUUUUUCGUUAAAGUGAACAGUACCGUGGGCCUUUCGUUAAAACUCCCUUAAUUCUUUUUGUAUGUAGGUGUCAUGACAAAAUCAAUUGAAGUAUAGGAUAGAUUCUGGUGGUUGACAUCAUAAUUUAAUUAUGAGUAAUAACAUGGUCAGCUGGAAUGUAGUUCUCCAGAAUAUGAGAAAUGCUAGGUAAACUAAUGUUUAUAUUAAAUUUGCAAAUUAAAAGAUAUGUCACCAAUAAGAAAAUAGUUUUCCUAGUAUUACCCUAAAAAUAUAUAUUAUCAAACAAACUUGAUAAUGCCCUAAACUGAUUGUGAUUAGAAAGAAAAUAUAUUUCAAUUAUUAUGGGAACUAACUAUGCACAAUCCUUUUCGCUUUUUCCACCACCAAUUGGAAACCUAAACCUGUUUGGUCUUAGUAUUUUGAUGAGCCAAAUCACAAAAUAAUGCACCCUAGCUACUAAUUCGACUGAGUUUAGGGUGUGAUCUGAGCAUGAGGUGAUAAUGGAUUUCUCACCCUCUUAACUUAUCUCUCAUACAAUUAGUAUUUUAAUGCUUUACUUAAUCACAAGCUCAUGAUACAAAAUUUAGAAAUAAUAAGCAAUUUGUUUAGCAAACUCAAGUCUUGUACAAGUUUGAUUAUACAAACAUCGUUUUAAGAAAAUCCAAUUUGUUGAUGAGCAAAAUCUAAUUUCUUUAGCGUUUGUUUAAAUCAAUCGGAUCAAUGAUAAGUUAUCAUCAAGAAAUAUGAAGUCAUCUUUUUAUACAUGCAAGUCACAAUAGAUAUAAAUGCAAAAUUAAGUCUCCAAAACCAUUAUGAUAAAAGUUUCUGGACAUAUUUCGAACUGUAAUUAGGAUUUAGCAUUCUUGUCCCGACUUAAAUAUAAAGUAUUAAGGGGUGGGCAUACGGAUCUUUAGAAUCGUGAAUUCGGACCGUAUAACCAAGCCCAAUGUAAAACCAUCCGUUUCUUACUUUUGAUUUUCAAAAUGAUCAGAGUUGGACCCAAUUUGUAUAAAACCGAUUCCAAAAUCGAGUUCAUAUUUCUUAUGUGCGGGUUACCCGGCUCAGACUGUCUGAGGAUUGUCUUAGCACUUGUCAUUUUAUUAGUGGUUCACAACGAUAAAAUUUCUUUCUUUCAAACAUUUGUCGGUAUUGACUUUGUUAGACUAAUUCUCUCGCAACAGAACACACAUAGAUUGUUUUGUAUUGUUUUUUUGUCAUACGACAUAUGAUUGAAAACAGAUUCGUCGACCCGUAAAAACCGAACCGUAUCAAACAGACCCAAAUAAGCCGGUUCCAUUAAUAAACAUACAUUGUUUCACUCUGCAAAUUUCCCAGACAAGGCCAAGCCGCCGGGCCCUCAACUUUUAUGCUGUUUCCACUCUCUCUGCCUCUCUCUCAAUCAGAGAACUUAACCAAAUUUUCAAUCUUUUUAAACCGUAGAUUACUUCUUAUUUUGGACUAAUCCGCUCGAUUAGUCUAAACUUUGAUUAAAACCUUUCUGCCUCAAUUCUCAAGAGUCAAAUGUGUCGUUUUCUGUUCCCUUAUAAAAAAAGAAAAAAGAAAUAUUAUGAUUACUGAUAAGGCCCUGAAUCUGUAUCCUCCCUCUAUCUGUAACUUAAUAGUUAAUAGCACAAAGGGGCAGAAGCAGCCCACUUGUAAUACAAAGCUGCCACAUAAUUCAACCAAAACUCAAAUCCCAAGACAUGUUAAGCUUCUGUUCUUUCCUUCUGUUUCAGUUACCAGCCUGUUCAAAGCUGCGUUUUUUUCCAGAUAAGAUCAGUGGUUUAGAUGCAUGAGGUGGCCUUCAAAAGCUUCUGGGCUCGUGUAGGAUUGCUUCUCUAGAAAGCACUUCCGCUAGAAGUGCGUUGGAAUUUUUUUUUAUUAGAAAUCCGAAUGCGUGCUUUCUAGAAAAUCACUUGGAACGUCGCCUGAAGAAGCAUUUGGUAAUUGGUGGGAGCUGAGUUUUUCUGUCAAAAGCAGUCAGAAGCGCUUUUGGCCGUUCCAGGAGCUUACAGCUGAUUGGGUUUUGUGUUGUAUGGGUUUUGAGGUAAAAACAAUCUUCUGGGAUUUUAGUGUGCUAAUAAAAGAUCAAAUCUUUCUGGGGUUUUGUACAAUUUCUAGGGUUAUGGCAAUGGAGAUUUUAAUCUCUGUGAUCCUACUGUUCGUGGGGAUUGUUGUUUUAGUAGUAAUUCAUGUUUGUAUUGUUGGGAGAGCAUUCAACAGAGCCAAUAAUCAAGGUGUUAAUCUGGUUCAAAGAAGCAGCAUUUUGGGGAUCAAAAGGAUGUCCAACGAGGAACUCAACAUGCUGCCUUGCUUCGACUACACGGCAGAAGAGAAAGGGACUGCUACUAGCCCUGGGGAUUGUGCAGUUUGCUUGGAAAGUUUCAAGGGAGGUGAAAAGUGCAGGUUGUUGCCAAAUUGCAAGCACAGCUUCCAUGCUCAAUGCAUAGAUUCAUGGCUGCUGAAGACUCCGGUUUGUCCGGUGUGUCGGACUUGUGCUAAAACUCCGAAGAUUGAUGUGAGUUUGGGAGGGGAAAGCAGCGUUUCGGGCGAUUAUCGAAUCGAAAUGACGUAGAAGGCAGGUUUUUUAUGUUUUGUUUUCAUUGUUAAUGGUGAUGUUUUUGUAAAAAGUUUCUUGCUUGCCUAUCCCUUUUCCUAAAGAACUCAAUGCUGGUUCUGCUUAACGUGAUUAUAUACCAAGUGAUUUAUAUUUGGAAUAAGCCGACAAGCUGAUAGGGAUUUGAAGCCACAAUAGGUUGCAAAUCCUCGACGGUUGCCUUGCAUUAUGGGGCAAAAGAACAAGUUUUGCCCCGUUGUUAUUCCUAAGCCUCGAGGACUUGCAUAAACGGAGACACCAAGCUGACGGUAUUUCAAAUCAAUAAUGCGAUCUCACGCUGUUAAAACAUAUGAGGAUGCAUGAUAGGGUUGGACAGCGCCACCUUAGCUUCAAUAAUACGAUCUCGCGCUGUUAAAACAUGAGGAUGCGUGAUAGGGUUGGGAUAGCGCCACCUUAGCUUCUCCGUUUCAUGCAUUUAAAACAAUCACUAUGUGCAAGCCAUGAAGACCCAAAGCGAUGAGUUCAUUUGGAAGAAGCACGACGAACAAACCAAUCAGUCAAGUACACAGCUACGAAGAUAUGUGAUGACCGUUUCUUCCUUCUUGGUGGAAUAGGCAUGUCAUCGGACCUUAACGGCGGGUUUUCAGACAACAUGAAGUUCCGGGUAAGAAAGCGUAUUCCCAUACCAACACCUUCAUGAUCACGCUACAUAUACAAAAGCACUUUCAACUCACAACGACCAGGAAUGAAAUGACAGAUCCUAACAUGUUAGCUUCCAAAGCUUCGGGUAUUUACACGUAAAUCCCCUCUACUUAUAUCUCUACGAAACACAGAAUGCAACAAGCUCUGGAGAUUUCACAUUCACAUAGACAAGCUUAACCUUUGUGAUUCAAAGCAAAACUCAAACUUAGCGCAAACAACAAAAUCUUGAGGCUUUAAUACAAAAGAGCAUUGGAAAGGUGAACAAGGUUUUACGUCUGUUAACAGUAAGCUACCGUUUUGAAACAAAAUAUAACAAGAAAAUCCAUCUCAACGAAAACUAACUAGGUAACAAUGCAAAGAUGCACAAAACAAAGAAAACCUCAGACGUAGUCUGCAUACUAAGCUGAACUCUUCUCAGUAUUGUUCUCAAGUUCCCUCCUCAGCUGCAGGGAGAAGUCAUCGUUAACAUCGUCAUCAUCCCAGUCGUCUUCCCACUGCUGUGUCACUUCCUUGCCUUCCUCUUUGUCCUCCCAUUCUGUCAUUGUUCAUAAACAAAACAAGACGAAGUUAGAACGAGGCAUAACUCCUACCUGAUCAGCAUUGCAAGCAUACACACAGCAGUAUGAACCAUAAGUAAAAGCAAUGCAGGUUCUCUAAACCUAAACCCGUUAUGCAGAGCAGCACCGUGCUUACGCAAAUGAAAUUUACAAGACAAUACCGAACACAACUAGAACAGCUCAAUCUCCAAAGUAGUGAACCAAAAUUCGACAAGCAUGAGGUCUAAAACAAAUGUACCCUAUUUGAAUUCUUCGUCAAAUUAACGAAUUACCGAACUGCAAUGGCUCAAUAUCCGAAAUGGCGAAACAAAAUAACCAAAUUCAACAUCAAAAAAUGAACUUCAACAGUUUUAGCAUACUUGAGGAUCAAAACUAAGAGACCCAGAAACUUAAAUCCACCAACUAAAUCGCUAAUGCAAGCUGAGACAUUGCAAAAAACUCCAAAUCAAUUCAAAAACACAUGCAAUAACAGUCAUGUUCAAAAAUUUCCAAUCGAUUGAAAGCCUCAGAAUUAAAUAGCACAAAUUGAGAAUGAACUGAAAUUAAGGCUAAACAAUUGACCCACGUAUUGAAGUGCAAAAUUAAAUACCUUCGUUGACAUCAAACUCCUCGAACUCGUCGUCGUCUUCGAACAGAUCCAUCUUCGCGACCUCCGUCACCGCCUGGGGCUCCGCCGCCAUCUCAGUUCUCCAAGCGCGAACUAACACAACAAAAAUCCGAUUCAGCUUUCAAAUUCCGCGAAAUCAGAAUACACAAUAUACAGAAAAUUAAAGGACAAGUAGAACUUACACAAAGAGAGAGAGAGAGAGAGAGAGAGAGAGAGAUCGGAGAAUCUGAAAAAUUGGGAAUUAGGGAUUUUACGUCGGAACCUUCUGGGUUUUUACGGUGAAGUCUCAACAGUCGAAGAGCUUAAAGCCUAAGGUGAGCUCUAAACGGCGACGUAUUGGGGGGGGGAUGUCGGUUUCAGCUCUUCCCAACCUUGUUGAAACAUGAAGUUACAUUAGAUCCGAGUGGGUUGGGCUCUCUAAGGUUAAGUCUUGGGCCCAUUUAUUUGGGCUUGUUAAUACUUAGGGCAAUGUUUGGGGAAAAUCCAAAGUGAGUGGGCCCAUCCUAACUUAUUAGCCGCAACGCUAAAUUUACAUUAAGAGGUGGGAGAAUAUAUUUGUUGCGAACUCACUAUUCACAAGAUUAGAACUUAAGAUUUGAAGAAUAUCAGUAGAUCGUAGUACUAAGUGGCAGCUAUGCUUCCAAUAUAGUUUGUCAAGCUGGUGAUCAUGUUGACCAGCGGUAUUGUGCUCUCUCCUUUUGUCGCCCUUGAUUAUUAUGUUAUCGAUGUUUAGUAUUUGAUCAAUUUCACAAUUGGGAUUUGAUUUUCGUCUCAUCAUUUAUAUAUUUUAAAACAAAUCCUAUCUUCCACCACAAGAAAAACCAAAUUCAACCGUAUGCAAUGAUACACAAGCAACAUGGUCACAUAUGGCUACUUGAAAAAAAAAAUUGAGCUGAUUUCUUUAAGAAUCAGAGAGUAAAAAGCCUAACUAAAAAAAAUCAUAUUUACACCAUAUCUAUGAAUGUAUUUUACAUGCAAAAUCGAGAUGAAUCACCGUUCCUGGACGCCUUGUUUGCGCCUAACUGCAGAACUCAUCCAUCUUGAUGUACUAGUUUCACGAAAGUCAUGGAGAAUUUUGAUGAGGGAGCGCGAUUUCUUGAUCGCAUAAGAUGUUCCAUCCGUCAAGAGCGAAAAGAGUCUAGGCAUUAGUGAUGAUUCCGUUGCCAAAACAGCAACAACUUCCGCCCCGCCAUUGAUGCACAAAGACAGCAGUGUUGAAACACAAUACUCUCUUGCUUUUGGGGAUGUCGAAGUUUGAAGAAUGCGGAUGAUCAAUUGCAAAUCAAUGGAGUGGAGGAUUUCGUAUGAUCCUACGACAUUUUCAGCCAAAAUUGCAAGAACUGAUAAUGCAUCAUCAACGAGCUGAUCAGGGUUUUGUGACGAAGAAGAUAUUAUGUCAACUAGCAGUGGAACAAUGCCCGCGUCCAGCACUUUUUGUUGAUUCCUAGCAAGGAGGAUCAGCCCGAAAAUCGCAACCACGGAGUUCUUUUUCCCGCACGUAUUUCCUUCCCUGAUCAGCUCCACAAGAGCUGGGAUGGCCUCAGGCAUUUCUCCGAUUAGUUUCCGAGACUCCCGCAUCGAAGAGAGGUAAAACAUCGUUGCAGCUGCGCUUUGUCGGGCUUCUAAACUCAACCCAUUUUUAAGAACAGCAACAACUGAUGGUAGGCCUCCCCAUGACAUUAUCAAUUUCAUUCCGCUUGCGUAUUUCGCGAGCUUCAACAAGGCUGCAAUUGCAUUCCCUUGCGUGGAUGCAUCAGCGGAAUUCAGUAGCCUCAGCAGAGGAGGGAUACAGCCAGCCUUGAUCAAACAAGACCUGUUGAAAAUGUUUGAUUUGCCUAGCAAUCGAAUCUCAUAAGCGGCCUUGUUUUGCUGUUCGCUUGUUCCGCAAGCAAGCCUUCCGCUGAGAAAUCUCGACAGAAACCUCAUUGCGUGUUUAGCAACCGGGCUACCAGGUGCGAUCGUUUUUUCCUUGUCGGCGCUUUUCCUUCCUGGCCUGCCGAGAGAAAUGCCGUUGUAUUCACAAAGGUUUUUUAUCAGCCUUCGGAGAACCGAAUUCGGUACCAACUCUGUGUUUGUGAUCAUCUCUCCUGUUUUGGGGCAGAGCAUGUGUCCGUCGUCGAGCCAUUUUUGAAUCGAAUUUCGAUCGUACGUCUGACCUGUAGAUACAGUCACCGGAUCAAGCAUUAGCUCCAGAGAAAUCGGGCACCUGAAAUCUUCAGGGUUUAAGCAACGAAACAUCUCCACGUCGCACCUGGAAUCGAUUUGAUUCGCGGGGUUUUGAUGAUCCAAUGUUUCGAAAAUCAGCCCCCUGCUGUAGCUCAUGAACCCCACCAAGCUACUCAGAAAAGGAACAUCCAUCUCCUCCUGAUCGAAACGCUUGAUAGCAAUUUGUUCUUCCAAGAAUUUGAUCUCCGUGUUGCACUCGCUCCAGCUUUUAAUUCGAAGGUAAUCGAGGACCCGCUUUACGGCAAUCAAAUCGGGCUCGAUUCCCUUUUCGAAUUGGUUCAGAAUCGCAAGCAAUCGUUUCGAAGCCAAUCUGUCACCCACUUGGAGCUCUAAGUUGGCCUUCCACGAUUGCUUCGACACCAAUUCAACCAAUUCCUUAACUUCAUCGCCAACAUCGAUCACUUUCAACGGCAGAACAUCGAGAGCCGUCGCCACAGCUCGAAUCAGAAACCGAAAUUGAGUCGCAAGAAACUCGCAUUUCGUCAGCAUCAAAACUCGACCACCUUCCCUCAUACAAUCCUCCAAUAAAAACCGAAUUUUCUGGAAGACGAAAUGAAGCUCGGAGAGGCAGACGACAACAGACGAUUUCGGAACAACCGAAUUGCAUUCACGUACCUCCUCAAAGAACAUGAGAAGAACACGAACCUGCCGAAUUGCUUCCCGGCUGUUCCUCCAUUGCGUCGCACAGCAUUUCGAUUGGAAACUGCAGAUGGUGUGGGAGAGAGCGAUCAGAGACUCGAGAAGGGUCUCCAGAGAAAUAAAUUCGCAAGGUCGCACCGCCGGAAACGUGAGAAUCCGGCGGUCGCUGCUGUCGAAUUUCGGGUUCAUCGAUGCAAUUGUAUGCGGAAAAACAGAGGAUCUCUGUUUUUGCUCUGUUUUUGGGACAUAGACUUGGAGUAGAAUUCGAGUCGGAAGAGAAGUGUUUCUCUGCUUUGGCUCUGUUUUUGUUCACGGAAUUAAUGGGAGGAGGGGUAGCAAGCGUUGCUGCAAUAUAGGGAGAUAACGGGCACGUGGCGGGAUAUUAGGAGUCCACGUUCCUAGGUUGACUCGGAGUGCACUUCACUGGAUAGGCCUACAUGGACACGUGGAGAGGUGGGGUUGGCUGAUGCGGCUUCAUGGAUACUCGUCAAUGAUGAUUCAGUGUACUGUUUCGCGUCUACGGACAGUUUAUCGUCGGCCGGAGAGUGAUAUCUGUGGGGACCACCAAGCCGACUUGGACACGUGGAAGUGGUUGACGUGUUGCGGUGGCAGCGGGGCACACAGAGGAACACUUGUGUGUGUUUCCUGUGUUUUACGAGUCAAAGUGGGUUUUGAUUAGAGAGACUAAUAGACGAUUAAUUAAUAGAAAAUUAGAGUUUAAAAGCUUGGCAAAGUUCAUGUUCAUACAGACCAGAAUUUUGAGUUAAACAUCGAUUGAAUUGUAAUGGUUUUGUUGGCCCACGUUUAUGUGUCAAAUGGUUCAAUCGCGGGUGCAUUUCUUCUGUUUCGAUUAUGUUUUAUGCCUUUUGUUUCGUAUAACGAUAUUCGUGAUACGAAUAAUUUGAUUAAAGUUACGUUUCUAUUCAUAAUUCUCACGUUUUAAAUUGUGUAUGAGCUUCUUAAAAUAUUUUAUAUCUUAUAAUACUUCUUCGUUUUGAAUGAAACAUAUUCUCCAACAAUAAACAUACGUGGUGUACUUGACAUCAAGAAAAUACAUAACUAUUUUAAUCGAUAUUGAUUAAUGUAUUAGUAAGAGAUUAACUUAAACAAUGUUUAAGAUUGAUGAAACUCCUUAGGGGUAGUGAUGUAGUAUUCAGAGUAGGAUUUUAUUUUCUCGUAUUCUCUUCCUUCUUCUCAUACUUUCACUCUGUGUUUGUUUCUCUAUAAAGAAGUCAACACAAAAUAUUAAUGUGACUUAAUCGUAAUGUUCAAAUAUGAGGAGAGUAAAAGAAAAGAGAAUCUUAGUCGGUAGAUCCUAGCAAUUUCAUCAGUUUUAUUCCUUGAGCAAUUUGAUCACUUAAGCAAUAAGUUAUUACAUAAAUAAUGAGUACGUUUCGCUAAUCAAAUUCUUGUUUGUGGCCACACAUCCUUUUAAUUAAUUUGUAAUUAUCUUCUAAACUUUUCCAUCGAAAACUAAUGAUGAUUUGACAAGUGGACCAACCAUAGUGUGACAAAUUGAACGCGCCUGUUGUCUCUGCAUUGCAAUAAUUCUGGAGAUACUAUAAAACGCGUUCACUUGGUUUUGGUCUAUCCUGUGAUUGUGAUUGGGAUAUUCCCCAAAAAAAUAAAAUUUUACUCUUUGAUGCUUUUCUCCAUGGAAAGAGGUUUUUGUUUUUCAUGGAGUGAUGCCUUCAGCCUGCCAAUCACUGUUUUGCAAAAUAGUUAGGUCUACAAAACUAAGUAAUUAUUCGAUUACGUGAUGUUAUUAUUUUCCUGUUAUUAUGCACGUCGUUGUUGAUUACUAUUAGAGUUCAGAUUAAUGAGUAAUGGGAUAUCAAAUUUUUCGACCCCUUGUAUUAUGGAAAUUGAUAACAAUUACGGUGGUGCUAUAAAGCUAGAAGAAUAAAGAAUUUAGUGAGAUAAAAUGAAUUAAUUUCAUUAAGAGAUAAAAGUUGCAUAAUAAAAGGCAUUGUUGCAUUGAUAUAUCGAGCCAGUUAAGUGUAAUCAUUUUUAACUAACUACAUUCAGUUACGAAUUGACCAUCUCAUCUACUGUUAUCAAGUUUGACAUGUUGACUGUCAUUGAAAAUUUUCUCAAAAAAAGUUUUAUCGCUAACAAUGGCGUAGCCACACCAGUUACUACAACAAUUGUGAUGUCAUUUUGUUCAAGAUUAUUUUUCUUUGAGAUAGUGGGGUUUAUACCAGUUUCAACCAAUUUUUUUAAGAUUGUCUUUACUUUUACUUUCAGUGUUUUACUUUGUGCUAGUUGUGUGGUUGUAAUUGAGAUAUCAAGUUUUUUUUUUAUCUUCUUCGUGUGUUUAAAUAAAUGUAUGUGAAAUUCGGUGAUUCAUUGUAAUUUUGUUAGUUUGCAAUUGCGAAGCUUAUUGAGUUCCUGCCAGACAAAUUUUACAAAUACAGAAGUUAAACUUAAAUUUUUGCAUACAAUACAUAUGUAGUAAAAAAAAAAAAAGCCUUUUGAUUUUAGGGUAUUUUUUAGGGAGUUUUAACGAAAAGCUUGCGGUACUGUUCACUUUAAAGAACAACCACAUUUUUACACUAAAAAGUCAAAUCUUGUACUAUUCACUUUACCCUUUAUCUUGUCCUUAUCGUUAAAACUUAAAAUUUUCAAGCCAUUUUCAUUAGUUUUCCUUAUUUUGUAGCUAGCCCACCUAUAAAAUAUUUUCUGGCCCUUGAUUGCCAAACUGUGAUUUUUCCAAAGAAAUUACUCUUUAUCUUUCACCGGCUUAACUUUUUUGGACAUAAGAUACAUGCGAAUUUUAAGCCCAUGCUUCCUAGUUUGAUCCUACUUCUAGUAUAAAAAAAAAAGGUCGUACCAGUGCACAAGGCUCCCGCUUUACGCAGGGUCUGGGAGAGGUGAAUGUCGGCUAGCCUUACCCCCAUUUAUGGAGAGGCUGCUCCCAAGUCUCGAACCCGAGACCUACCGCUCAUGGGCGAAGGCACUUGCCAUCGCACCAAGUGCGACCUCUAUCCUACUUCUAGUAUAUAUAAUAAAAUUGAAAAUCUUUGUUUAUGGACUUGGGAUAUUAUCACCAACUUGGUUGGCUGCAACGCAAUGGCAACAAAAUUGAAAAAUCUAAAACCAACUUGGUACAAGAUUGUAAAUCUGUCUUGGUUAUUUGUAAUUUGCAAUUUUAUAAUAGACUCAAACUGUUCACAAUGUAGAAGGUUCAGGUCAUAGAAAAUGUCUUGAAGUAAAACUAAAUCUGUGUAAGAUAGACGUUCCCCGACCUUCGCAAAGCGAGGAGUCUCAUUAGCUUGCGGUCGCUUGGUUUACAAAAAUCACUAAAAUUUAGAAGGAUGAAACUUUUGAAGCAUUCCCACAAAACAGUAUAACAUCUUUCUAUCACCACAAACUAGUCAACUUCUUUCGAUUACGGAUUACAGACAGACUUUUUGUAUCUUUAUUAUUUGAAACCACACAGAUCGGAGCAUAUGGUUCGGUCGAGAGAUUUUACAGCCAUGCCGGAUUCUUCAAAGGAGUGACAACAGCCUUCACCUGCAAGUAGUUGUGAAGGCUGUAGAUUCCCUUUUCUCUGCCUAUUCCACUCAUCUUGUAUCCGCCAAAAGGAAUCGCAGCAUCAAACACGUCGAAGCAGUUCACCCAGACUGUCCCAGCCCUCAAUGCCCGUGUCAAGUAGUUGGCGGUGUUAAUGUUCUUUGUGAAUACUCCGGCAGCUAGACCAUAGCGCGUUGCGUUUGCCCUUCGUACCACUUCAUCGAGCUCCCUGGUACAAAAUGUGGAAUUUUUAGGCAUGUAGAAUAUUACAACUUUUGCAGAAUGCAAGGAGUUGAUGCAGUGUGAGGUUUUUAACUCACUUGAAUUUCAAAAUCGACUGCACUGGGCCGAAGAUCUCAUCCUGUGCGAUCAACAUAUCGUCCUGAUUGAAAUGAACAGCAAUCGUGUUACGUGAAACGAUAUUUCAAGAGUACAGGUUGAAGGCUAACUUUGGAUGAGGAAAUAAUAUACCUCAACGUUUGAGAAAACGGUAGGCUGGAUGAAGUAUCCCUUGGAGCCCAAUCUUUCGCCUCCACAUUCAAGGGUAGCAUUGCUAUCAAUGCCAGAUCUUAUGUAUCGAAGGACCUUCUCAAACUGCUCGUUGUCGAUCUGUCAAUUGUCGAAAUGAUCAGAAGCAUCACUUAAAAACUUAUAUUCUUUAUGUCACACAUGAGUGCAUGAAACGAAUAGAACAUCGUUGAAAUGCAAGUAUGUGAGUACCUGAGGGCCUUGUUCAACACCCUUCUUAAAGGGAUCGCCAACAACACGUUUCACAGCGCGUGCCUUUGCUUUCUCUAUGAACUCAUCAUACACACGCUCAUGUACAAAAGUACGAGACCCAGCACAGCAACAUUGCCCCUGAGUGUCAUCCAAGCAUUCAUUAAUGAUGUGUUUUGAACUUCUGAUUACUACAGAACCCGGCUUCGUGGAAAACUAAUUGAACCAACCUGGUUAAAGAAGAGAGCAAAGUGUGCAAGCUCCACAGCAUGAUUAAUGUCAGCGUCCUCACAUAUAAUGAAAGGUGAUUUCCCGCCGAGCUCUAAUGUUACUGGCUUAAGAUUGCUUCUUGCAGCCAAUUCAAGAAUAAUCUUUCCAGUAUCAGUUGAUCCGGUGAAAGCUACCUGAAAAGGAACGCGGUAAUGGUUUUACGUAGCCUGCAUAUCCAGUGUACAGGGAAAAAGAAGGACAAAUGUGCUCCAAAUACCUUGUCCACCUCCAUAUGACUGGCAAGAGCAGCACCAGCAGUUGGCCCAUCUCCAGAAACUACGUUUAGAACACCCGGAGGAAGACCAGCCUGUCACAGAUGAAGCUGAGUAAUAUUAGAACAUGAACAACGACGGAAAAGAAAUAAAGAAUGUACACGCUUCAUGUUGAUGCAGAAUAAAAAGUUAAUUACACUAUAGAUUAAUUUUUACAUAUUUCGCUUGGCACAUAGAUGUUUACGCGUGAGGGAGAGUGAGCAGCUCGACAGGCGUCACAGGCCUACCUCUUGGAAUAGCUUUGCCACAUAGAGGGCAGUCAGAGGCGUCUGCUCAGCGCUCUUUAGGACAAUAGUAUUACCACAAGCCAGUGCAGGCCCAACUUUCCAGGCAAACAUGAGUAAAGGAAAGUUCCACGGAAUAAUCUGUCCUGCAACACCGAUUGGCUCGUGCAGCGUUUGCACGUGAUAAGGUCCAUCAGCCGGAACAGUUAGACCAUGGAUUUUGUCUGCCCAUCCUGGAUAAUUUGAGGAAGAAAUCGUAAGUAAAAACAAUGUGACGAAUAAAAAUGGAUUUUGUCUGCCCAUACUGGAUAAUUUCAGUGUUCUCACCGGCAUAGUAGUGAAACAGACGAGCCAACAUUGGUAGUUCCGCUGUCAGAGCUUGCUCAUAAGUCUUGCCGUUAUUCCAUGUCUCUAGAGCUGCAAGCUCUUCACUGUUUUUCUCAACCAAAUCAGCAAAGCGUAGUAAUAUCCGUGAUCUUUCCUGAUUAAACGAUAAAAAGACGAAGUCUCAAUGACGAUGCACAUCAAUAUCCUGACAAUUUACAUCCCUCAUAUGCUAAUCCAGCAGGAAAGCGCAACAGAAAAAUGUACUACAAAAUAUAGACCAAUGCGAAGUUCGAUAGUUCUUACAUAAGCGCUCAUCUUCGGCCAUGGCCCCUCAUCAAAUGCCUUGCGAGCAGCAGCUACUGCACGGUUAAUAUCUUCUGCGUCGCCCUCAGCCACAUGAGCAAUCACUUCACCUGUACGAGGGUCGUAUGCCGGAAAUGUUUUUCCUGACACAAAAGAAUUUCAAACAUUAGCUCCAUAACAUGUUAUCUUUUCGGCAGUCUUCAUCUUUUUGCAAGUUCCGUUUACUCACACAGUUUUUGCAAAACAAAAGCGACCGUAUGCAGAUUUCUUGGACUCGUAUGAAGAAAAGGAUUACCUGAUGCAGCGUCGACGAAUUUCCCAUUGAUUAGGUGCUGAGUGUGACUUAUUUGAACAGGUGGAAUGAUUAACUCCUCAGUUGCUGCAGCAGUGCUAAACCUGCUAACUCUUCUCCCUGGAGGGUCAUGGGAGGAGUAUUAUCCGUCGUAUUAAAUCACGAAAAUUGAAAAAUCCAUGAAUCUUUGGCUGUAUGAUGGCUCCACCAUCAUUCAAAAAUUCCAGAGAGAGAGAGAUACACACACACACGCAUACACACAC